rnacentral:lncRNA from 1 species
GAUGGAGGAGGCGACCUCGUAUGGAAUAAUGUUAUACUGGUUCCAUCCUCUUCCUAGCUUAGUCAUCUCAAUCUACUUCAUGGAGCUAGUGUAUCUCGUGGUUAGUUUUUUUUGUUACUUUGGUCUUCUCUUACUAGUCGGUUCGGUGACGAAUCGGUUUGACAACCUGCCUUGCAAGGGAUGUGUCCCCGUUCAAAGUCCGUUCAACGAUUUUAGGUUCUCAUCGGUUGCAGUGAAUGACUCAAGCGACUAUUUAAAACCUAUGAGAUUAGUCCAGCAUUUGCAGCUCUGAUUUUCUGUAAUUUUAUCACCAGAGACAUGGAGAAAUUUCAAGAUACGGAUGACGGAUAUAGUGAUUUUUACUUUCAAGAAUAUAGAUGCAACUUUUAGUUUCAUUAGGAAUUUUUGUAGUUGAUUUUCGUUUCAGUUUUUUUGUCCUUUGUACUCUGCUUAUUGAUUCAAUAAAGUCAGAUGUUUUUCAGAAAAUAAAUUGAGAGAUCUCGGAAUGGACUUCUCAAGGACCAAUCAAUUUAGUGACCACCAAAAUAUGCAGGUACUCGUAGAAGAUAUGUGUUGAAGGAGAAGUGGAUGCGUGAAACAUUACGGAGUGGAGGUCACAAGGUGUGAGUUAAGUCAUUUGACGAUGGCAGCAGCUGUUACACGAUUGGGACUUGGGUUUUGCUGAGACGCACGAAGGAAUGAAUCGUCGUACGACGAUCGUACGUAAAACGUCGUAUGCAGAGCAGUUUCGAAGAAAUAAAGUCCAAUGUGAAGAUGGUGUUAACAUUAUCAGAAGUGCUCAAGCUCCAUUUCUUGGCACCGACGAAGGGAAUGAAGACAAUAGUUGCUCACUAUCAUGGACCUAAAGAUUUCCAUAGUGCAAUUUUAUGAUCUGGGAUGAUGUUGUCAUAGCUAUAGCAUACCAUUGAGACGAGAGCAUACGUUAUGUACCGAGAUUAUGGUUCAACCCGUGCACCCAAGGUUGAAGCUUGGGAACUUCUGGAAUUUGAAUGCAAUGUACAUUUACUACGUCACAAAUGUCAAAUCAAAUUUGAAUCACAGUUCCAAUAACAAUAACAAAAAAAAAAGUUAUGGUUGUAUUUAAGGGCCCAAUUCAAAGCCCAGUUUGACUUGACUAUUGUUUGUCUUGAUAGUGUAGGCAAAAGCAUAUUUUUUUAAGGUUGUUUCAGCGAGAUUUUUUUGCUUUAUGAUUGUCGCAUUUCUUGCUGGUAGAGACUCGUUAGAAAUCACGAAAGCGUGAAGAACGAUCCAAAUUACUACCAUCAUUUUUAAAUAUAAGGUUCUAACUUUGUCCCAAGUCAAAUUUCUUAUAGUGUAACCAAGUUUAUAGACAAAUGUAUUAACAUCUAGAAUAUCAAAUAAAUAUACUACUCUGAUCCAUAUUAAUUGUCUCAAAUUUGCGAUGUAAUAUUUCGACAAGUAAUAUGGAUUAGAGAGAGUAUGAAAGCAUACAUCUUGAUGUGUUUAAUAAAACUAAUUUAGAAUCAGAAAGAUUGGUAAAAACAUUAUAAACUUGGUCAAAAUUUAAGAAGUUUGACUUGGCACAAGGAUAAGACUUCUUACAUUAGGAACACUUUUGGCCAGUGCAGCCAAUGGGCAGUGGUUAAUGUGCACCUGAACCAGCAGUGACACACUGAAGAUGGCUGCUGCUAGGGAUGCGAACACGAUCCCUCACAUGUCCCACUUCAGUCCAAUCUCCAAAUCUUAGGUCAUAAUUUUAAGCCUAUCCGCUUGCAUUCCUAGCUCCAGCAGCAUGGCACAAAGAUGAUGAACCCUAAUACCAGGGACUAGGGCAUCCAGGCAUUCAGAUCAUAACUGGUGGAACUGAGAAAUUCAACCGACUAUCAUCUAUCAAUUUCAUUCAUACCCUAUAUUAUUCCACUCUUAGAACACAUAUAUACAUGUUCAUGGCUGCUUCCAACAGCAUCUGCGCUUGCUUGUUUCUACCGCCUUGCCCUAUCUGUAGCCAAGCUAUUGCAGGUGCCUCUCUUUCAAUUUUCCCAGCCACAAUACAAGGAAUGCCUUCCUGUUGCUUAUGGGGCUUCGAAUUGGGCCCAAAUGGUUCGGCCCUGGGUGCCUUUAAACUGUCAUCUAGCAACUAUCUACACUUUGCACAAUAGCUGAAUCCACAAGGGCAAUUAGCUCAGAUCGAAACCAGCUUCUGAGUUUAUUGCGUACAACAAUUUGGUUUGCAUCUGCUCCUUCCUGUUCAGCAUGAACCAGGGGUCCGUUAGUCAGGUUGAAAUGAAUCAAUGAGCACGUAGAAUUCGAAAGAAUACAUGGGGUUGGUUACUAUGGUUUACUGACGUUCUGUAUGGAGGGAGCUUCAGGAGGUUCAUGCACGUAGCAGAAGUGGGCAAGCGGUCUCCAUGCUCCUCUACGCCCGGGACACCAGCUCUGUUCAAAAUGAGUUCAAGAUAAAAAAUUCCCAACAGAACAAGAGAUGAAAGAUAGAUAUACAGGUGUAUUGAACCUCUGAAUGCAGAAUUUUGGAUCAAGGUAUUCGAAUCCAAGGAGUGGUCCACGAGAGCAUCCAGUCACAAAUCUGCGCAUUUAUUGUCAUGUGCAUAACAAGAUUAAAAGAAUGCAGAUUGAUAUAACAGAUUAUGAUUAUGUUUUCAUCUGAUCACAAGUUAACUCAGGCUUAUGCAUAGUUGCGAAGGAAAGCAGACGCAGGCAGAGCAGUCCAAAGCAAAGAGAUGAAUUCUAAACAUUCAAGCUCCUGGAGUAAAGAGAGUGUAAACCAAUCAAUCAGCAAAACUUAAUGGACAAUCUCCUUAUUCCCAGGUAAUAAUAAUUAGGCCAGUUCAAAAUCGGUUUCAGAUGGAACCGUGGAAACAGUCAGGAAGCAUCCCAGUUCAAGUUCCGUCUAUAACUGCAAACCCACCUUCUUAGCAAGUAUUCCCUCCAUCCGGAAAUAACUGACUCGGAUUUGUCUACACUAAAACGCGUCUAGAUACAUACGAAUCUAUACAAAUCCGAAUCACUUAUUUCCAGACGGAGGGAGCAGAAAAUUUUGUGUUGUUGGUUUCCACGGUUUGGAUCCAAACUGUUUCUGAACAUCCCUAACAAUAAUCAAUAAUACUAAGAAACAGUGAAAGUAAUAAACAUUAGUUGCAUGAAGUCCUUUGGGUCGAAAAGGAAAAAGGAGACAAUUAACUUAUACUCCCUCCAUCCCGAAUUAACUGAUGUGGAUUUGUAUAAGAAUCUAUACAAAUCCACAUCAGUUAAUUCGGCACAGAGGGAGUAAAACAAAUGACACUCAUGCUGCAAAAAAAGGAGGGAGUAACAUACUUGAGAAACUUUUUCUGAUUAUCUGAACUCAAGCUCUUUAAAACCUCCCAGAACAUAUCAAUAAUCUCAUGAUCCUGAAAGGAAAUCGUAAUUAAUCCUUCUCUAAAGUGUGAAGACAAAAAUAAGCUCACCAUUGAAAUAAAAAUAGCAUAAAAACAUAAAGAUCUCAUGACUCGAUGCAAGCAGCUCUGCACCUAGCUAAAAUUAUAUUCAAAUUGGUAUUUGUGCUAUAUUGCUACAUGAAUUGUCAUCAAAAUAAGUUCCGUACAACCCAGUCUGGAUAAAAUCAAAAUUAAAACUUUGGGACAUGGCCUGAACUAGCUAGUUUUGAUAUUUCAGUUUAUGUGAACCUUUCGAAGCUGACUCAUGACUCAAAUUGAUACUCCCUCCAUCCCAUAUUAAGUGUCGAAAUAUUACAUGUAUCUAGACGCGUUUUAGUGUGUAGAUGCAUCCAUAUUUAGACAAAUUUAAGACACUUAAUAUGGGACGGAGGGAGUACAUAGUGAGCAACUAAAUGGUUUGUGGAUGCGUGGUAUUCAGCAUAUUUCAAUCUUGUCACAGCAGAAGAAAAACAUUACUGGUCCCCACAUCUAUUGAUAUCGUUUUAAUAAGAUAUAGACAAAGAAUGUUCUCAUAGCACAACUUCCAUUAUUGGAAAUUGAGGGGUGGCCGAUAUGACUGCAUCUAUUUAGUAAUAGAAGGAUAGCCUGCCACAAAGUUUUGAUACGAAUGCUAGCAGCAUCUGGGUAAUGGAAGGAUGGCCUUUCUUACAUAACCAAGUAAACUUACCGGAUGAUAACCUCCAGCGUAGUUGGUGUUCAAGCGCAAGUCAUCAAUGUCCAAGCUUUCCAGAGAGCCAGAUAUGAGAAGCUGCAGGAGCAAAAUACACAAGCGACCAUCACAAAAAUCAAAUGAAUAUGUAUGCUAAUGCUAGCAAAGAAUAACCUUAUAACAACAAAAAUAUGCACAUCAAAAUGUAAUUCAGCAACUAAAGACACACGUAAAACUUCUCUUAACCACAGGAAAACCACAAAAAAGCCCAAACAGCAACACACCAUUUGAUAACAAGACAGAAGUCACAUUUGCAUUCACUUACAGACUUUUUUUAAUGGAUUAAAACUACGUCUCCCUACUUGUAAAGGAAAUGCAACUGGAAAGUCAUAAGUACCUGAAUUUCAUGUUCAUUGAACAUAUCGAUCCAGUCCUUCGGUAUAAGUUGUUGAAAUCCUCUCAAAAAGUGUGUACUUUGUCCACGGAUCUGUGAUCAAAACAAAAGGAAAAUAUUUAGGAAAGAAUUACAUGGUAAGCAAAUGACAGAACUACAUUAUUUUUACCUGAUAAUUUAAUCGAUGGUUGGCAACAAGGUGGAUAAACAUAAUAACAUUACUAUUAGUAACACGCAUCUCUCUCCCGCCAGGAAGCAGCUCUUCUUCAGAUUGUUCACCAUAUUCAUUAUUCACGAUUACAAAGUACAACUCCAGAUCUGAGAGGUCGCCAUGAUAAUGCUGAGCACAGAAAAGAAGAUAUUAUAACGCAAAAUGACCAGGCGAUGACAAAAACUUCCCCAAAGUAAAGUGGAUACACAUACUGUCAUAUAUCCUACAAAUGCAUCUCAUGCUACAAAGACAAGAUACCCCCAAAUUAUCUAGAUUGCAUCCUCACAGUUAAAGCGGGGAAAAAAAAUAUUUUUUAGCCGUACAAUAACUUGGUAAGCUGUAUUCAAAUACUAAAGUCAUGACAGUUUCACAGACCAAAACGAAAGAUAAACACUUCAUCAGUAGUGCUUGAAAUCAGAAGCUCAACCACAUGCAACAUUUGGAAAGAUGGCCUCUAAACCUGCAGAUAACAAUUUUCUUCACACAUUGAUGCAAAUAACAAUAUAGAUUCCACUCAAUUUUCUUCUCCCGUUGGAAACGAGUUUAUUAGCUGGUCAGUCGGCCAUGGAUUCCACCCCAACAUCAGUCAGGAAGGGCUUCUCCUCGUUGAUAAUGCUUGAGUUGGUGGAUCUUGAAGCAGCGUAACAAUGCGGUCUUCAACAGAGAGAGGCCUAGAAUCACUACGCAGCUCCAAACUACCAAAACUGAGGCUAGAUUGUGGGUUAAAGCAGGUGAAACUGGCCUCUAAGCAUCACUACUGGCAGAGCAUAGAGCUUAGCCGCUUGGGGGUAUUGUGUGGGAUGUGUUUGUACCUGGUUACUUGUAGCCUUAUGAAUACCUUUUCUAUCUAUCAACGCCUUGAGAUACAAAGCUUUUGCAUUUUCUCGGAAAAAAGAAGUAAAUAGGAAUAUAUAUCAAACCUUUAAAAAUAGAAGAUGUCGAUACAAUUCAGGAUCCAAUGAGGGCAGAUCAUUCAAAAAAUUGGACCUGAUUGGCAAUGGAAAAGUAGACAUGGAUGUUAAACUCUUUAAAAGUAAAGCACAAACAGCAUAAUGUUAUACAAUAUGUGACAUACUGAUUAUCUACAGAUUUACAGAUUUACAGAAGAGCAAAAUCACAAGUCAUUCCAACAUGGUCCAAUAGUCAACAUAAGUAUUUUUGUUGCGAGUUAGUUAAGAGAGAGAGAGAGAGAGCUACUUCUGUUUCAGCUUGCUCAAGAAGAAGGUUGCAAACGGUAAAUCGACGAGUAUGCCCUCAUACAUUGCCUGAAAGACACGAAUCAAGCACAUGUCAGACGACAACCCGGUUGACUUGCUAACUAGUUAAAGGAAGAUGCAUAGCUAAUGUGGUUGCCCUUAUAGAAAUUUGGGACAAAAAGUAGAAAAAUAGAUCACAAGCCUGCAGCACCAAAUAAGGCUAAUCAGACUACAUUACUAACUUCUGCAUUGAUGGAUAUCCUAUCAAUGCAUAUCCAUUGCAUUUUUGUAGGCAUUGGCACAUAUUCUACAAUGCUGCUACCUACCGUACCGCAAUAAUCGAGAAUACCAACAGCUUUAAGCACAAUACGCAUGUCCCUAAAAGCCCAAUAUGCAUUCAAUGAAGGAAAAAUCUCAGAAAAUGUUGCGACACUAGUAUCAAAAUACUUGCAUGCCACUAGAAGAUCAGAAUACCAGAUAUAAAAGUUAAAGAAGUUCUUUAAACUAAGCCCCAACAGGUCGAAUACCUGCUCAGCAAUGGCAAAGAGAAGAUAUAUGAUCAAAGUACCUUCCCGAGGAGACUCCCAAGAAAACGGAAAUACUGCAGAUGAUGUUCAUGAACCAAUCCUGAUCCAGGGUUGGGGUACAGAAGAUGAUCAACCGUUUCCUACAGAAGGAAAAAGAUGUGAUGUAUCAUAUAGAGCAAGCGAGGAAUCGCUUUAUAGUUUAUCUACCAGCUUUAAGCUAUUGCAGCUACCAGCACACUACUCACACAUCAGAACGAGUUUAUGACUAACUGACAACAUUGUAUUGGAUCAACAAAAUAGUAUCAUACCUUGAAUAGGCCAUACUGCACAUCAAAAGCAGCACGAGUGAUAUUUUCCAUGAAAUCUUUGAAAAUUCCACCUCCAUCAAUUCCAGCUUCUUCCACACCGUGCUCAUUAACAAAUGCUACUCGGAUCUACAAGCAUCAAGAUUAAUUGAAAAAUCAGAAAACUGAAUUUCCUGUACCUUACGAAAACAUGUAUUAAAUCAAGGACUGAAGAUGAAAGAUAGUGUCAUACCGGUCCUUUAAGAUCUUCUUCAGAUAGCAAGCUUAGCUGAUCAAAAGCAUCCUCCAGAAGUCGACUUCUUCUUAUUUUGAACCGAUGUCUUGUCAAGGCAGAAUGGGAUGUCGCCGAUUGUUUAGAAUUUGCCAGUUGCGACUGUUUGCAGAAACAAAAACUUUUAAGACAUUGCCCGAAGAGAGGCACCAGCCUUAUUCAAUAUUUACACAAAAUCAGUAAUAACGUACAGUAAAUAUUCUGACUCUAAUGGUAAAAGGCGCCAGAAAGGGAGCAAGCUUUAUAAUUUCUGAUGCUCGAGUGUUGCCAAGUAUCGCCUGAAAAACAUAUACACAAUGUUGAAGAUAUGUAUAGUUCUGAAUUAUAUGUUUCGAUAAUUCAAGCAGCGCAUAGGGUCCACUACCUGUGAGACAAAAUUUUCACUUGUUGCUUCUUGAGAAUAGAAAUCACUUUCGGAAGUGAAUGGGAGCCGGUUGUUCCAGUCUUGCAACUGCAAUUAGGUACAAAUAUUUAGUUUAAAUAAUAUACUUCAUCCAAGAAACAAUACAUGAGUAGCAAUAACUUGUGGGAAAUGACUAACAGACAAGUAUGACCGGAGAAGAGAAUCUGUAUCCCACAAUCUAGAAGAUAAACUAGAUAUGGCCGUGUUUGAUAAACAAAAAAAAAUCUAACUGUGUCUGGUAAACGAAAGCCAAUGUCCACUCCAACAAUUUUGUAGCUCAAAAUCAUGGAUGGCUCAUGCAAAAAAAGGCUUCAAUGUAAAAACAAGGACAGCUUCUACUGCUUAUCACGUGUGCACUGUCCACAGAUACGUCAGUAUGCAACAGGUACUGAAACUACAAUAUCAGAUGUAUUUUAUCUGCACCUGAUGUAAGCAUUCUGGUUAAAAGCACUAUGACAGGAGGCAAUCACUAUACAGAAACUGGAUUUUAAGACAAAUAAACAGAAACAAUAACAUGGUAUAUGAAGGCAGAAAUGUCUACCUGUGUGAGUAAUUCAGAUAACCCAAUCCUUGCCCGACUCUUAAGAUUAUCAAUGGACAUUUUCUUAAGACCUAAAAGAUUGGGUAACGCUUUCUGAGUAGGAGAGGUAUGUGAAGGAAUAAUCCAAAGAAGCUGCCAUAAAGCCUGCACAUUGAAGUGGAACUCUUGUCAAUGUAACACCAAACAUGAGAUAUAUCAGCAACAGCUCUGACGUUUUCAGAAUUUCUAAAUUCAGCAGGUGGAUGGCCUGGUAAAAAAAAUGAUAAUACAGUGAGGAUAUUGUCUUGUGUAUACCUGCUUUAGAAUGAGAAUUAGGGACUUCAAAUCUUUAAGUGAAAGAGGUUUCUGUUGUUCGUAGAAUUCCUCAUUAUCAACGAUCUUUAACAUGUACCUGGUACAAGGUAAAAUAACAGAGCAUCGAUGAUGUGAAUCCUGAUUAAAGUACUACUCCCUCCGUCCCAUAUUAAGUGCCGAAAUAUUACAUGUAUCUAGACGCUUUUUAGGUAUAGACACAUCCAUAUUUGGAUAAAUUUGAGUCACUUUAAUAUGGGACGGAGGAGUAUUAUUUUCCACAUUUCAAUUACUUGACAAGUACAAAAAAUAAGUACUCCCUCCGAUCCAUAAUAAGUGUCUUGGACUUGGUACAAAGUUGUACUAGCUUUGUACUAAAUCCAAGACACUUAUUAUGGAUCGGAGGGAGUAUGUUAUAGGUAACAGUAUGUGACAGAAUGAAAUAGGCGGUCUUACCUGUAUAUAGGACAAAACACAGACACAGGCAGAAGCCAACCAGGAGCAUCUGCAGGCAAAGGAGAGAUAUACUUCGAAAAAUAUGGCCAUCUUUGGUUUUCAUGGCAUCGCUUUAUAAAAUUCCAUAGCGCAGGAACAAUAUCAGUACGGUAGGCCAGCACAGUCAUAGUUACAUCUAGAGGCAAUGUGUUGAACAUGACGUGAAGAAAAGCACAAAUAGACCCGACAGCUUCCACCUCAGCAUCUGAUGGUCCAGAUGGAUCAGAAUAGUUCGUGCUUAAUGUGCCUCUGAACAGAGCAUUCACCUAUAAUGAUACAGGCUGGGGUCAAACAGGAGAAAGCAAAACAUGGAGCCCAAUCAUCUUGAAGAGAAUAACUUUCAUAUGGGUGUCCAGCAUACCAAAUGUUCAAGCAACCUUGAAUUUGAAUCAAAUGCUGCAGUUAUCUGUCUUUGCAAAUCAACAUCAAGACCACUUUUAACAUCGACAUCCAUGGGCAUGUCAUCGUCAUCAUCAGCCCCUUUACAUGAUUUAAAGAGAAAACAACUCGCGUAAGACUCCAUUACAGAAAGAUAUUUGAAGUUAACAAGGUGCCAAUAGGAACAAAUCGUAAGCUACAAAAGAGCGCCAGAGUACUACUGAUAUAAAUUUGUUUAACAUUUGUUGUGUCAUAGAAGUCCUGAAAAAUCAGACCAGGCAUGACAUGUUGUGUGCUCUGAUGGUUCUGAUUUCUGAAGGUAUGGAUGUAAGAUGCAUUCAAGCUGCCAAAUGUCUUGGUACACGCGGUUGUAACUUGUAUCUACACCUAUCAUGUGUUGAGGUACUUGUACCUCUAAAGUUUGAAUGGUGCUACUACAUGGAAAUAUAAGAGUGCAUGCAAAAUUUGUGUUGGACUGAAGAGGUAUCCUGGACAAUUAUUGGUAUGGCCCAUUAGGCCCACCUAACUAGAUAUAUAUAUAUAUAUGUGUGUGUGUGUGGGUGUGUUCUCUCCCUGGGCUUUAACCCUAGCCGCCACUGUAAACUGAGAGGUGAGCUCCUGCCCUUGUGACUACAUGGUAUCAGAGCCAAGUUCACAGUUAGGAUAGGCAGGCUGAGAGGGAGAGAAUCCUGUUCCUAGAUCUGCUUAGGAUAGGAGAAGCAGGGGUGAAGGAGAGAGCGGCUGGAGCAGCAAGCAACAGGAGGUGCAUCUCAAGCGGAAGAGAUGGGAAAUGUCACCAAGGUGUUGGAGCAGCUGGUUGAGCUUCUCACUGCCAAGGCAGAUGGUGCCUCAUCCACAGGUAUUUCUGUUCCACAGCCUGAAGUAGUUCAAAAGGUGGAGUUGAUGCCAAAUGACAUCAAGCUAGAGGGAGUCUCAAACUAUUUGAGCUGGUCUAGAAGGGGGCUGCUGAUUUUGGGGACAAAAGGGCUGAUAGGCUACGUGAAGGGUGAAGUGAGAGAGCCAGUGGAUAAGCUGGGGGAAGAAUGGAAGAAGUGGAGUAUUGUUGAUUCGCUGGUGCAGGCAUGGAUGCUGAACUCUUUAACUCCAACCAUUGCUGCUUCUGUGGAGUCAUUAUCCAGUGCAGUAGAGAUGUGGAUGACCCUGGAAACAAUGUAUUCAGGCAAAGGAAAUGUGAUGGUGAUAGCCCAGGUGGAGGAUAUGGUGCAUGAUAUGAAGCAAGGAGAGAGAUCGGUGCUGGAAUAUGUGACAGAACUGCAGCAUCUUUGGACUGAUUUAGAUUACUACGAUCCAUUGGAGUUGUCACAUGCUGAAUGUGUGUUGGCUGCUCAAAAAUGGAUUGAGCGCAGGCGGGUAAUGAAAUUUCUCAAGGGGCUGAACCCGGAAUUUGAAGGGAGGCGUGCUGGACUGUGUGAUCAACCCACUCUUCCUUCACUCAAGGAGACCAUAGCAGCAAUGGCUCAGGAGGAGGUGAGGAGGUGAGACUAAAGAUGACGAAGAGUGAAGGGACUGUUCAGGGACGUUCAGCAUUUGUUGCAACUGAAAGAAAAGAGACAAGGGACUGUUUUAAUUGUGGGAUAACAGGCCAUCUGAGUUAUGAAUGCACAGCUCCAAGGCGUGGAAGAGGGAGAGGCUAUAACAAGGGAAGUUACCGAGGUGGAAGAGGUAGAGGUGGCCACAACAACUCUGGACCUUCAAGGGCACAUGUGGCAGCUGCAGAACAGGAAACUGCAAGUGCAUCGCAGGGGAGUUGAAGAACAAAGGUCAGGUGGACAACAACUUCGGAAACUUUGCUCAUGCUGUCUACACAAAAGAAGGUAACUCUACAAAUGCAUCUAUAUUUCCCCAUAAAUCCUUCUCAGAUUGGAUACUCGAUUCUGGAGCUUCAAAACAUGUUGCGGGAACUCUCAAUGAAUUUGAUUCAUAUAUCCAGUAUCCACCUGAACAUAAUGAAACAAUUCAAACUGUUGAUGGCACCUCACAACCAAUAAAGGGAGUCGGAACAGUUCAGUGUACACUAUGCAUAAAAUUGUCUUCAGUACUACAUGUUCCAGCUUUUCCUGUUAAUUUGGUGUCAUUAAGCGCAUUAAUUGACCAGCUGGACUGCAGGAUAACACUUGACAAAUACAUGUGUUUGAUUCAGGGGAGGCAGAUUGGCAGGAAGCUUGGGACAGGAACCAGGCAUAAUGGGCUGUGGUAUAUGAACAGAGGGGCAUCCAGAAGCACGGUGCUUGCAGCCAUGCUGGGAGAAAGGGAGACGAUGGCGAUUAUCCAUCAUUGUCGAAUGGGUCACGUGUCUUCGAGAAAAUGGGUAGAGUGUUUCCUGAUGUAAUGAGUGGGGUUGAUAAGAACAAACUUAAGUGUGAUGCAUGUGAAUAUGCAAAACACACAAGAACCACUUACGUUAGCAGGGGUCUUAGAAGUAUCUCUCCAUUUAUGUUAAUCCAUUCUGAUGUAUGGACAUGUCCAGUUGUUUCUGUCAGUGGGAUGAAAUAUUUUGUGACAUUUAUUGACUACAAUACUCGUAUGACAUGGAUUUAUCUCAUGCGACAUAAAGAUGAGGUAUUCCAAUGCUUCCAGGAUUUCUACUCCUAUGUGAACACUCAAUUUCAUGUGCAGGUGCAAGCGAUCCGGACUGAUAAUGGGACAGAAAGGUAUACUGCAUCAGACUUCUUGCCCAGAUACCCAACCACAGAAUGGAGUUGCGGAGAGAAAGAAUCGCCAUAUUCCGGAAGUUGCUCGCUCCUUAAUGUUUACAAUGAAUGUUCCAAAGUUUUUGUGGAAUGAAGCUGUAAUGACAGCAACUUAUUUAAUCAAUCGUACUCCCUCAAGAGUUAUUGGCAUGAAGUCACCUUGUGAGAUGCUACUAGGGGAGAACAAAUUUUUGGUUCCACUUAAGUUAUUUGGCUGCACAUGCUUUGUUCGAGAUCAUAGACCUACAGUGGGUAAGCUGGAUCCGAAAGAAGUAAAGUGUAUCUUUGUUGGCUAUUCUGCAGGACAACGAGGUUAUAAAUGUAGUCCUAUAGAACAAAGAACAUUUGUUAGUAUGGAUGUUACCUUUUGGGAAUCUGAACCUUACUAUGGGGAGAAGACAGAUCUGAGUGCUUUGUUUGAAGAGCUUGACCAUCAGCCAUUGUCUGCGGAUGUUCAAGAAGGGGAGAAUGGACACUCGCAACAAAGACUACCUCAGCAAAUAGUUGGGGGCCCUAUUCCCAUGGCUGUAGCUGAGGAAAAUGAGCAGAGGUGGCCACGGGUCAAUGAGGAAACUAAUCUACAAGUGUAUACGAGGAGGCGUCAAGGUGAAAACACUCAGCAAGGUCAAGUAAUUCACAGGCAGGGGGAGCAAGGGGAAUAUAAUCCGGUACAAGGGGAGCAAUUUGAUGAUGGUCAAAAUAUUGACAGCUCGUCUGAAGGGAGUGCGCCUGAAGGGGAUUCUCUAGAUCUGCCCAUUGCCUUGAGGAAAGGAACAAGGGAAGCAGCAAGUAGGCCAAUCAACCAGUAUGGUUGUGAGCAUGACAUAGGCAAUUAUGUCUCCUAUGCUGCCUUGUCUCCGUCGUUCAAGACUUUUGUGGCGUCCCUACAAACAGUGAUUGUUCCUAAGGAUUGGAGAGCUGCAAAGCAGGACCCAAAAUGGUUUGGGGCCAUGAUAGAUGAAUUGGAGGCCUUGAGAAAGAAUAAAACCUGGGAGCGAACUUAUCUUCCCGAAGGGAAAAAAACUGUUGGAUGCAAAUGGGUGUUUACUGUAAAGCAAAACCCCGAAGGGAAGAUUGAAAGAUAUAAAGCAAGGCUAGUAGCUAAAGGAUACAGCCAGACAUAUGGUAUUGAUUACGAUGAGACCUUUGCACCAGUUGCAAAAAUGAACACCAUAAGAAUUUUAAUAUCAUGUGCUGCUAAUUUUGGUUGGCCACUGCACCAACUCGAUGUUAAAAAUGCUUUCUUACAUAGCGACCUACAAGAAGAGGUGUACAUGGAGAUUCCACCUGGUUUCUCUACACCUAAAAUGGCUGGGAAGGUAUGUAGAUCGAAGAAGUCUCUUUAUGGCCUAAAACAGUCUCCAAGAGCAUGGUUUGACAGAUUUAGGCAAGCAGUGUGUUCUAUGGGUUACAGGCAGUGUAAUGGAGAUCACACCAUUUUUUACAAGCAUUCCAAGCAACAGAUCACUAUACUCGCAGUUUAUGUAGAUGACAUCAUAAUUACAGGAGAUUACAAAGAGGAAAUAGCAAGACUGAAGAAGUGCUUAAGUGAGACGUUCGAGGUUAAGGAUCUUGGUCAGCUUAAAUAUUUUCUUGGUAUAGAAGUGGCCAGAUCUCCUACAGGAAUAGCUUUAUCUCAGAGAAAAUAUACCUUAGAUCUCUCGAGUGAUGUGGGUAUGUUCGGUUGUCGGGCAGAUCCAACUCCGAUUAAACAGAACCACAAAUUGGCAGCCCAAAGUGGUGAACCCGUGGACAGAGAGAAGUAUCAGAAAUUAGUUGGACAGCUCCUAUACCUAUGUCACACAAGACCAGACAUUGCAUAUGCAGUAAGCGUAGUAAGCAGAUACAUGCAUGACCCAAGAAGUGGACAUCUUGAUGCAGUGCAUCGCAUUCUUAGAUAUUUGAAAGGUUGUCCUGGCAAGGGAUUGAGAGAAGUAUCAGAAAUUAGUUGGACAGCUCCUAUACCUAUGUCACACAAGACUAGACAUUGCAUAUGCAGUAAGACAGAUACAUGCAUGACCCAAGAAGUGGACAUCUUGAUGCAGUGCAUCGCAUUCUUAGAUAUUUGAAAGGUUGUCCUGGCAAGGGAUUGAUGUUUAAGGGUAAUGGCCAUCUGAAUAUAGAUGGAUACAGUGAUGCAGAUUGGGCGAGUUGCUUUGAUGACAGGAGGUCAACCUCGGGAUACUGCGUUUUUGUUGCUGGGAAUCUGGUGUCUUGGAGAAGCAAGAAACAAUCUGUGGUCUCUAAGUCAACUGCUGAAGCUAAGUUCAGAGCACUAUCUCAAGGACUUAGUGAGAUGUUGUGGGUGAGAAGCCUUCUGCUUGAACUGAAGGUAUUUAGAGGUGGACCUCUAAAUGUUUGGUGUGACAACAAGUCUGCUGUCAGCAUUGCCAACAAUCCCGCUCAGCAUGAUAGGACUAAACAUGUUGAGAUUGAUCGGUUCUUCAUUAAAGAAAAGCUAGAUGAAAGAAUUAUCAAGAUAACUCAUGUGAGCUCAAUGUGAGCUCAACGAACCAAGUGGCAGAUUGUUUGACAAAAGGCUUGGGAACCAGAGAAUGUAAUCAUGCUUGUGACAAGAUGGGAAUGAUCGAUAUAUAUCACCCAUCUUGAGGGGGAGUGUUGGACUUAAGAGGUAUCCUGGACAUUUAUUGGUAUGGCCCAUUAGGCCCACCUAACUAUAUAUAUAUAUAUAUAUAUAUAUAUAUAUAUAUAUAUAUAUAUCUGUGUGUGUGUGUGUGUUCUCUCCCUGGGCUCUAACCCUAGCCACCACUGUAAACUGAGAGGUGAGCUCCUGCCCCUGUGGCUACAAUUUGUGCAAAUUCAAAUUGUACAACGUACUGUACAAAAAGACAAAACAAACGCUCCUUUUCAGUGCACAGUACCCUUAAAAAAAAUUGUAUGAUACAUUGUACAUAUCAAUUUUGCAGAAAUUAUUACAUGUAGUCUUACAUUUAUGUGUACAAGUAUCAUGAUUUUUUAAGAACUUUUUGAAUAAUACAAAUACCAUGAUAGGUGAACAUACAACUGAGUUUACGACCUCUGCUUUGAAAACAAGCUUCAUUCUCCAUUAUUGCACAUUGCACGCAAGAUCUCAAUACCCACUGUUUCACUAUAUUUAUCCAUGCCUUCAGAAAUCUAUGUUUCGAAAUGCUUGUCCAUUUUGGGAAUCAGGAGUAUAGUUAUAGCAAAUUAGCAAUGUUCAACUCUCUGCUCCUACUUAAAUUGCUUGUCACUGAACAACCUGGUCAUUUCUCCUUGGAUUUUUCUCAGAUUUAGUCAUUUAGUGUCUUGUUUGCCUAUGUUGUGUUGGGAAUGAUAACGAUGUCCUAAAUAUCAAAAACCCUAAUCCGUAACAAGUAUACAAAACCGUCCUUGUAUGCAAUUCUAGUAUUUAUAAAUAUAGCAGUAAAAUAAAUAUCUAAUACAUCAUUUUGGGUGCGUAAUCUCCAAAAAGGAUCAAUUGGUCAAAGGACCUAGAUCAAGUCUGCAUAUUUAUUGGUAGCCAACACCAGCUGGUUAACAGUAUUGGUAACCAACCCUUUUAUCAGCGUAGGACCUUUUUUAGAAAGCUAAACACUGAAACCAAUUCGGCACUAACUGGAACAGGGAGCGCCUAGUCCUUGUAUGUGGUCUAGUAUUUGCUUAACCAGUCCUGUUUCAGAACACUGCAGUACUUAAGAUGUUGAAAUUUCAUUGUAAAAUUAUCUAUGAUUCUUCUGAAAUACUUUUGAUGUUUGCUCUAGUUAAAUAAAUAAUAUAAUCCCAACAACUUUGGAACAGAAGAAAAAAUGCAUUCAACAAUUUCCAGGUAAAAUGAACUGCAAUUUACAAGCAUUUGACACUGUCAAAAGGACCUCGAUACAAACAAACGACAACGCAAAAUGCUACAGAAUACUGCCAAGAGAUGAAAGGCGACAACACAAUUGUCGUGUAACUUACUUUCAGUAGGUGAUGUAAUCGCUGGCAACGCAUCCAGCAAUGACGUAGAAACAGUAAUAAUGUCGGCCGCCUGGUUUUUAAAGAAAAUAAACAAAAAAUUAUAACCUUCAAUAAUUUAUUUGGCUUCAAUACCUUCAACUAUCCACAUACGUCCAACUGGAAAUGGAAAGAAGACAGCUAUUGCACAACCAAGAUUGUUACAGAUGUGAGUAGGUCAAUAAUAUAUGCAUAUGUGUUUGGCAUCAGAAGAAGAAAAACACACUUUCUUGGGGCCAUUUGACAUGAAUAAAUACUGUCACUCUGUUCAGACCAUAUAACUCGAGGGAAUCGAGCAAAAGCAUAUUGAAGAGGAUGACAUGUAUAAGGAACAGAAUAAUCUUCGACUGGGAGUUUGCAACAUAAUACAACCUUAAUUAGGAAUAUGAAAGUUGUGAGAACCUAUCAACACAUGACCACAAAUGUUUUGACAUAAAUAAUUCAGGGCAUGGCUAGGGUAUGUAGAACUUUUUGUUGCAUGGAAAUUUUUACAUUUCGUUCGUCUUUUUUCCACUCCACAUUGAUCCCACUUGUAGGAUUAUUAGUGGAUGGUAAGAAAGUGUGUACAUGAAGUGCAUAAUAUAUGUACACAUGUAUCACAGUCAUUCUCAUAAAUGAUAACUCAAGGACGAUAUAUUAGCAGAGGGUUUGUUCUAUAAACAAUUGUUAUAGAACAAACAAAGUUGCCCACCAACUCAAUCUUCCAACCUCAGCUAAAAAAUUGUAAGAUAAAUAAAUGAUCAAGAGCAAACAGAUGGGCCUAGCGACCUAGGUGCCCUGACAUUCAACCAGUACAAGGACCUGUGCAUCGCUUUUGGAAGUAGAUCAGAAUGCCUCUUCUCUGAGAACGCAUGGACUUGCAAUGAAUGUUUUCAGAGUACAAGAACCUAGUUGAUCUUUUUCCCUAAUAAUUAGAGUUUAAUGCAUUUUUCCCUUUUAAUAUUGCCAUAUAUCCACUAAAGCAAACAAAAUUAUGUAAUUUCAAAGGCACAUGCAGAACACUUACUCUAUCAGAAGCGAACUUAGGUUCAGAUAAAAUCCACGUUGCAGCUUCAAGCACAUUUGCAAGAACACACGCAUAUCCUGGAUGAUUAGCAGAUACAUCAUUUGGAAGAACAUCAGCACGACUGGGCAAAUAGCAAGCUAUCUGGUGGAUAUAAUAUUUGCUGAGUCCAUUAGCAGAGAAAACCUGAAAUAAUAAACAAUAAAAUGAUCAAACAUACAAUCAUUGCAAAAAUUAGUUAAAGCAUAUCACUCCUCAAUUAAACUCACACAAACUGAAGUUUCUAAUGCAGAAAUGGUAAAAAUUCAUAACAAAGCUUCAUAUUCUGAAUCAAACAGAUUUAGGUUGCAACAAGAGUACAAGACCUGGCAUAUUUGGAGCAAAGCAUCAUCAAGCCAAAUAUUUUUGCAGUUUAUAUUAAAUGUUCCUGUCCCCGUCCAUGAGUUUGUUUCUAAAAACACAUAUCAAACGAGAAUAGACACAGCUCACCUUCUUGAAGUGUGGCAAACGAUGCCAGAGAAAAGGAAUGGAUAGAAGCUGCGAGGAAAAACUCCAUCUUGGAUCCACAAUUGGACAAGAACAUGGAUGGUCGCCAACAUGUGAAGCAACAAGCAUGAGAACUUGCUCCAGCGCAGAUGUACGGUGCUCCAAAUUACUCGCAUUUUGCUGAAUAACAAUCAGAUCCAUCAAAAACGUCACAAAACAAAGCAUCAAAGUUUAAGUAUGGUCACCCUGAUGAAUUCAAUGUUUCUUCAUCAAACAACUGAAUGCCAGAGCAAGGAUUACUGCACUCAAAAAAAUUACCUACCAACAGAUGCUAAUCAAAACCAAGUUGACUGUAGUUGUUAUCGUUAAACCGUGAUAUAUUUUUUCAUAUCUGGUAUGGCAAGAACACAGAAAACUUUUAUCCCUUGGAGUUCUUGCAGAGCAAAAUUGAAAUAAAAACCAACCUUAGACUUUUAAGUCAAGUUUCGCUUAGAUAGUGUAGUUCAUUGACGUGAUAUUGCUUUGAGAAAUCUUGAAAUUACAAAUGAGUACCCAAAGUGAUAGAGUAUAUUAUACUAUGUCUUUAUGUGAUAUAUCAUGAGGGUAACAACACCUGGUAGAAGGAUGUAUAUAGAUAGGUCUGAAUGGUAAAUAACUCUAUAUUGAACGGCACUCAAUUAGGUCAUGAAAAAACCACUAUAUACGAUCGGAUGAACUAAACUUAUACAGGUUAAUAUCCUCAAGAGAACGCGGACUUAUUUCUGGAUAAUAGAUUUUGGUCAAUAAGUCGCCCAAGAAUUAGAGACGCCGGUAACAAUAAAAAUGCAACCAUAAUAAAGUAACAGACAUACCGGUACUGUACUAAUAAUUCCCCGAAACAAGCAAUAGAUCUUUCUCUGCUGAAGAUACCCAACUACUUUGCAGUUCCACGGUAGUUUGGGGUUUAUUAAACAAGCCACAGCUUCUAAUAAUCGAACAAAAGGCAUCGCUGCACUUUCCACUGACAUCAAAAGUUGACUACUCCAAUCAUACCUAUCAAAACACAAUAAACAAGUCAAAUGCAGAGUUGUUCAUUUCAUCAUGGAUGAUGGAAAAUAGCAUCUGCUGGAGCCUGGAAAUGAUCUAUAGUAAGUACAGAAAUGAAAAAAGAAAUAGAGCAUAUAAAGACAUGAGAAGAGACAAUAGCAACAUAAACAAAGCAACAUACACAAAAUAUAAUUUUCCUCUACUGAAACCACAGAAUAAAAUUUAGGGCAUUAAGAGGAUGUAGGACUUCAGCCUUCCCAAGUGAAAUGUUAAUUGAAUUUUCCAUUCAUGGAAGUUCACUCAGCAAGAGCUGUAUAUUGAGCAUAAAUCAGAAGACUAGAGCCAAGUAAAUGUUCUGCUACUGAAAUUCAUUCGAAGUUUGAAAUAGUCAAUCCUUGUAGUUUGAACUUAGUAAUGCACAGAAAUAAUACUUCACAGAGUAUUUAUUGUCCACUUAAUAUGAACAAAUAUAAUUUUGCUGGCCAAUUAGAAAAUAGCAGCCUAAAGAAGAAUAUUCUAAAUAUCAGCUUUCAAUAUUUGAACUCACCUCUUCUGGUGGACAGCAUGCACACAGAUGAGUGCAAGUUUUUUUACCCUAUGAGACACAAGAGGCUCCACUGCGGAGUAAUCAUUGCCGGCAAAGAGAUUUACAACAUCUCCUACAUCAAAAGGUAUGUUAUAGCCAAUGCCACAGAUGUAGCAAAAAGAAUAUCAUGUCAAAGAGGCUGAGCAAAAGUAGAAUACAGGCUCAGAGUGGAGAGAAAAUAAACUUUCUUGGCAUCAGUUAAAACUCAAAAAAAUAGUAACUGGCAAGUAGGUGUUUGUCCUUAGAAAAGCAGGAAGAUGCUAACUAGGUCAGAAAAUGAGGAUCAAAGUUCAGAACAAAUAUACCAGUAUGGCAAUUUCAUACAGGGAUGAAAACAUGGCAAGUAGGUGCUUGUCCUUAGGAAAACAGGAAGAUACUAAUUAGGUCAGCAAAUAAGGAUAUAAGUUCAGAACAAAUAUACAAGUAUGGCAAUUUCAUACAGGGAUGAAAACAAAUACACUGAACAGACUGAGUUAAAAUCAUCUCUGAUCAAUAGAAAGGGGUGGGGGUGGCGGGGCAAUAUCUCCAUAGCAUUAAGAAGUACCAACAAAUUUAGCAUAUGCCACAGGUCAGCAUAAGUCCUAAGAAACAGAAGAAUAUUUGCAUACAACACAAAGUAGAACAUUGCCAAAAAGUAGCAUAUGAUACAUACCAUGUUUAACAUACUGUAGAAGUAAGUUGCAGACUUGAGAAAGUAUAGCAAUAUCGUUGUCUUCACUUGCAUUGAAGAAGAACAACAAUUGACGAAGAAAAUCAGAAUUAGUGCUGAAGCAGUUCCUGAUUUAGUAGCAAGACAGUCAGAGAGAGAGAGAGAGAAAGCUAGAGACAAGAAAUGGAUAAGUUCUAUCUUUGUUGCAAUGCUUACCAAUCUACCCUCUGGCAGUUCUCCCCAAAAGUAGAACAAAAUGUCUUACGAACUUCUGAGCGUGCCAUGUCGAAAGCCUUCUUCCCUCUGAAGCAUUUCUGCAGCUUAUAAUUAGUUAACUUCCAUUUCGGGUACACAAAAUUAAUGUAUCUACCACAUAUACAGAUAUACAGGAAGCUCGAACAAGUAUCUGGACAUACACAGGAAAGGCAGCGCAACAAUUUUCCAAUAAAAAAUGGAUGGUGGUUCAGCAAAACAUUAAGUUGUCUGCCAUGUUUUCCCAUGCACGCCAUGUAACACCCGAUAGAUCAAAAAGAGAAAUCAUUAAAGAUUCUCAACUUUGAACCCUCGUGAUCCCAAGAUGAUCGCACGUGCAUAUUAGCAUCCGACACUCGACUUGCGUCAUCACACCAAACAAACCAAUAGAAAUCGUUAUACCUUAUUGAGCAGCCUAUGCAACCUGAAGUUCUUCCAUAACAGUUUCUGCCGUGUCAUCACACCGAACAAACCAAAUCGUUAUACCUUAUCAAGCAGCCUAUACGUGCAUACUACCAUCCGACACUCAACUUGCGUCAUCACACCGAACAAAAUCAUAGAAAUCAUUAUACCUUAUCGAGCAGCCUAUGCAACCUGAAUUGCCCCCCCCCCCCCCAUGUCCCUGCCGCGUCAUGCCAAAAUAACUAAAUUUCUUCCAUAACAGUUACUCAAGCUACAUAACAUACAUAACAUGCCAGCUAGGUGUGAAACCUACACAGAUUAACAUAGGCAUCACUCACACACAAGCAGAAUGCUGAAAAGCCCGCAGGCCUCACAGCUGAUUCUUAACAUAGGGCAGCUCUAAGCUGUGAGUCUUUGACCACACGAAUCCGAAACACUGCCAAGGACGAAAAUGCUUAAAGGAUGGAUCUCAAGUACCAAACUCUCAGCACACUGCAGAACUCACUAAACCCACUUUUUAUCUGUAAUCAGGACCUAAUCGCGACCCCAUAUCCCAAUGACGAGUCAAUGACUGCUCGCGCGAAGUCCCAAAACAGACCUGGAUCUUCGUGGCGGAGGAGUUCUGGAGGCGCACUGCGAGGCGGCGCUUCCGCUCCUCGCGCGUCUGCUCGAGCAGCACCUGGCGGUCCCGCUCCUUGUUGCUCCGGCCGCCCAGGUCCACCCGCUUCCGCGACGUCGGGUCACCGGAGAAGAACAUCCUUGCCGGCCCGCCUUCCCUCUCGCCUGCUCAACAUCACAACCCCAGAAGAAGAAGAAGAAGAAGAAGAAGAAGAAGAAAUCACUAAAAACACCACAAAAAAUCCGUCGAAAUUCGCGGAGGAAGGGGACGCGAGGCCGAUCGGGGCGUACCGGGGCUCGAUCGGGGGGCUAGGGUUUGGGGGACUGGGGCGGGUAAGCGACCGACUUCCGAAGCUGCGCGAGUCGAGAGGGGAAAGAGGAGGACGCGAGAGAUGGGUGCCUUGGCCCUUGGGACGAGGAGGAGAAAGAAGCGAAGAGAAGGGAGGGGAGGGGAGGGGGGUGGGUGGUAUUUUAGUCUGACGGUUCUGCCCCCCUGAGAUCGCAGUGCAAAUCGGCGCAGGCAAUGACGUGGAGGGGUGGACGGCGUGACGUGCGCUGACGUUGGAGCGUCUCGUGGCCGUCCAGGCGGAAACUUUUCUGUACAGCCAUCACCGGUUGGCACGGCUAGGGUUCCUAGAUCUCGCCCAAUGCCUCCAUCUUGUUAUAUAAUAGCGGCCAAGUUUAACCAUGUCACACGCGAAGAAGAUCUUUCGAUGUACUGUAAUCGAUUGUCCAAUGUCAUGACCGGCAGGCGGUGCAGCCGCACGGGCCCCAAACUGAGAGGGCCCAUACCCGUAGGUAUAUAUGUGUACACAUAGUAUAAUAAUGGGCUGUAUGAUGUACUGCAACCGAUUUCGCACCGUACUGCGGCUAAUGUUAUUUAAUGAUAUGGGUGUAGCACUCCCGUCAAUAUGGCUCAAAGAUGUAGAUAAAAGGGCGAAGGGUUGCACUCAAAAUGGGUUGUACUUGAAUACAAUGUGUUGUGUUUCGUGAGACCUAUGGAAAAAAAGGUUUUCGAGUCAAAGAGAAGAAAUAAAAUAACGCAGAGAAAAAGAAGUUGAAGGGUUGAACUUUGAUUAUCAACGUGAGAGCAUAACCUCUGGCGUGGCGGGUAACACCAUGUUUUGAUCAUGAAUUUAAUUGUGCUUGGGGGCGACGAGUGACAAUUUCCAAACCAAGUUGCUCGAGUUCGAUGAUGACCAGAUCUAGACUCCUUCUGGGAAGCUGAGCUUCAUGGCCCUCAUGCCACUGUGCCCUCGAGGCCUUCACUUGAAGAAGCCAAAGAUGAACGCAAGGAGGUAGAGUGAGUGCACUUGUACCAUUGCACUGCUUGAAGACAAAAAAUUUACCACCAAGACUUUAAUACAAGACAUCGACCAAAGAUGUGGCCCGAAACAAUCCACGAAAAUGAUGCAUCUCAUGAAGUCGAUGUCUGGAAAAUAUGUACAUCGAUCCAAUCGACCACUCCCUCCAACCCAUAUAAAUAAAAAGAUCAAUUUUACAUAUACUGACCACUUUGAAUGUGUGAUAAUUACGCUGAUUUUUUGGCGAUCAAAAGGGUAGUCUAGGUGCCUAGGUGUGUAGUUAACAAACUUUAAAAAACCACGCUAAAAAAACUUUAAAAAACCAUAAAUGGAAAGAUUCCCAAGGUGAUUAUGUUUAGCCGUACUGCAUUAGCCCUAUAUAGACAAAUUCAUCACAAAAAUGGGAUGAUAUUUUGAAAUACUUUUAGGGAUGUUAACAUAAAAAAACAAAAUUAUAUUGUGGCUGCUGGGAUUCGAGCCCAGGUCUCCACGGCCACAACGUGGAAUUCUCACCACUAAACUACAGCCACAUCUGUGUUAGAUCCAACCAUCUUAAUCUAGUUAUCGUAAUCGCACGAGCUGAAAGAGCCUGCUCUAGCUCUACCACCGUCACUGGUGACCGUGAAACACGAGAAAACAUCAGUCCCCACCGUCAGCAACCACGAUAUGUAACAAGCAAAUUAGCAACGGCAAUGCAGGAGUAUAUACUAGCUUUAGCAUAUCUUUUUCCAAUCAUUUUUACAGAAUGCUCGUACCAUGAACUCACUCUAAUUAGACUUGGCACACCUAGAACAUACAGGGGCACAUAUAUUGGUGCAUCAAAACCACAAAAUCCGCAGCCAAGAUUGAAUUACUCCAUCCCAGAGUUCAGCGUAGAGACAUUAUGGGGAACUUGGUCAGACCACACAAACCAGGAUCUUCACUCCGCUUAUGACAUAGCCUGGUGGCGGAACAACAUCAUACAAUCUUAUAACCCCAGCGUGCAUGUUGAUUCACAAUCUGAGAAAAAAAGGAAGAAAUAUGGAUAUUCAAGAGGUAUGCUACCGACAGCAGCCGAUCUCUCCUUCCUCCACAUCUACAUCCAUGGAAAGUGAUAUGCCAUCCUUCAUUUCAUGUUCGACCUCUUCAUCUAGAUCUUUGUUCUCAUCCAUGGAGGGUGAUAUGCUAUCCUUCAUUUCAUGUUCGACCUCUUCAUCGAGAUCUUUCUUCUCAUCCAUGGAGGGUGAUAUGCUAUCCUUCAUUUCAUGUUCGACCUCUUCAUCGAGAUCUUUCUUCUCAUCCAUGGAGGGUGAUAUGCUAUCCUUCAUUUCAUGUUCGACCUCUUCAUCAAGAUCUUUCUUCUCAUCCAUGGAGGGUGAUAUGCUAUCCUCCAUUUCAUGUUCAACCUCUUCUUCGAGAUCUUUCUUCAUGAAAAGGCCAAGCCUCUCCAGAGGGCUCCCUAGGCCAGGUGGAAGCUCCAUCCCAUCAACAAGAUCCACAAUUAAUCUGCCAGGAGGGUUCAGUUCCCACUUUUUGCUCAUGUUUUCCAGGUCCUUCAGAAAGUCACUGUUGUCGAUGUCAACUGUCUUCUUCAUCUACACAAAAGGACAGAUUGAAUAGCCACUGCAUAACAUGAAGCAUGGGAACUUGCUGUCAGAAGAUUGGAAGCAGCUCGUACCAUUUGUAGUGCCAAGCGUGCAGUCUCUCUUUGUUGCUCCCUCUUCAUCCUCAUUUCUUCAUCUAGCUUUAAUUGUGCAGCAGCUUCAGCAGCCUUCACCUGGGCCUCAAUCCUUGCUUUCUCUGCAACACAAAAUAAAUACAUCUGAAAAGGAAACCAUGCAAGUCCAGCAUCCACAGCAAUGAUAAACUUGAUAUCAAUGUGACACAAAAGGUGAAAAAGGUACAGUACAACCUAAGCAUAAGGCAUGCUGAAUGUAUUAUUCUCAAUUUUCAAGAAAGGGGCCAUAAUCACAUAAAUUAAAUUAAUUUCUUCACCGGUACAUAAGCUGAGCGUGCAUUCUAGAAUUUGGUACCUACCUGCGACAACCACCACUAAUAAACUUCCCCAAAAACUGUUAAGAGAAAACUCCUAAAACCAAAUAAUCCACCAUCUUAUCACAUCAAACAAACUCACCUCUUGACAAGGGGUUCAGGAAAGUGCUAGGCGGUGACUGGGCAUAUGCCCAGCGCUUACCUCACCUACAUGGCUCAUAAGCGUUCUGUACGGAUAGGCCAGCAAGGGAAGCAAUAAAGUAAGGCCCAUCAAUGUACUAUGGCCCACAAACUGCUGCCUUAGUAGGGUCUUUAGGGUUUCCUAACUCUCAGACACAGCCACCAAUGCAUCAGACAAGCAGGGGUUGCAUGCUGACAACAUCCUCCGCCGGCGAUGCACAUGCUGCAUCAAUCUUCACAGAUCUCUCCCCCUCCUGCUGCCUCUUCUUGCUUCUCCAGUGCUGUCACCACCUCUCCUCACUUACAGAAACUGGAGGAUAUUUCCUUGCCGGCGAAGGCCGAUUCCUAGGCGUACGCUUAAGCCUGACCGCUUAGUUGGCUGCCCAUGACAGAAGCGUCACGUUAUGCGACGCACACCUAUGCGUGUGCCUAAGCACGAAUUUACUUCCUUGUCUCUUGAGCUACUACAAUCACUACUUCACUAGAACAGUCUAAUAUAAUAAUUAUCCUUUGAUGUUAUUAUCCUUGGAUCAUACGGGAAAAAAAAUACAACCAGGUCCUAGGAGUGUCGUUUGCAAGAAGCUACGAACCAACUGUCCACCUAUGCACAGCUAAUGGACAGCUACACUAAUGCAUAGCUAUCUUUGAUUUGCUCACCAAACUGUAGCUUGCUUCUUGUCAUCGACCUACUUCAGUUCAGAUAAUGAUCAAACUAAUUACAAGAAUGAACCUUCACAAUAUCACAAGACAUUUAUGACUAGCAAGUGCAUACAAGCACAUCAUUUCUUUUAAACAAUAAAGCAUUCUUUUUAUUAACUUUUGCAUUGAACUAAAACAAGAUAUAUAUCCAUGUCGAACAUAUAACCAAAGUUCUAAACAUGGUAUGGCAAGUAUUCCAUUUAAGGAAGGACAACUCAGUCUACAUGAGAGCUCUAUGCAAAUAUAAGAUACCUGACAAAAUCACAAACUGGCACACAAAAAAAGAUAUCCAGCACAUAUAGGCCAUCAGAGGCACAGAGCUAAUUAUUACCUUCUCGCUGCCUUUUUUCCAGUCUCUCCUUUUCCAUCUGCAAUUUUGCGGGGUCUAUUAUCUGCCCCUAAGAGAGCAAAACAACAUGUCAGCUAGACCAGCACGGAUAUAGAGAUAAAGCCGUCCACUGCAAGCGGAUAGCCUAACUGUUGUGAUGUACUAAAUUUUGGGAACUAUUUUAGAAAUAUUACAUGGUCUAGAAGUGCUUUCUGUUGUGCCUUAACAAUUGUUCCAGCAAAACGACCCUUAAGUAUUGCUGCACGGAGGGCUUUUGUUGGUGACAAAGGUUCAUCAUUUAAAUAACUUCCAUUUCCUGGAUUCACAUCACAAUAUCCACUACAUUAGCAUAUGACAAAAAGAUUGUCCCGAGUUCUGAACUCUUUUGUUGUUUCAAAAAGGAACAAAAUAAUAAUUAGACGAACCAAACAUAUCGAAAGAACAGAAUAUGCAGAAAGAACCUUGUUCAAAAGAAGCGAGAGGUGAAGUUGAAGUAUCACUGCAAGUGUGUGACCCAUUUCCUAAAAUAGAAAACAAGUGUGUUAGCAAAACAAUAUAUGGGAUCAAAUUAUGGAAUAUUCCUCAACAUACCAUUUGAUUGAGAGCUGUGCUCACUUGAUUGCAUCCUUGAUAUUUUAGUGUUCUCCUGCAGAUAUAAUAUAUGGCUUAGGAUGGGGAAAUGGAAGUUUGUUUAGCUAAUAAUGUGCUCGAACUAUAAAGACGGACAUAAUAAUGUGUCAAACUAUAAAAGAGGAAACUCAUUGCGAAAACCUUGGGGCAAGGGAUAUAAUGAUUUAAAGAGCCCUCUUUGCUACCAGCUGCUUGAAAAGGUGUAUCUGGAUAAAAAAAUGAACAGAAGUAUCAAUAACCAUGACAGAAGAGUAUAAUUGACUACAGGAGAAAAGCUUGUGGAACAUAAUGAAAAGGGGUUACACCUUUGGAAAAGGUCUGCCCGGAGCCUCGCACAGAAAAUUUAAUCUUUACCUGUGCAGGUAACAGAUAGCAAUACUUUAAAAAUUGCUAUUAAGUGAAAUAACAAAUCAGCAAUUGAAUGAAGGUAUCAAGUAAUCAUACUUUGGAAGAUAUUGCAUCUGUCAAAGUCUUCUUUGCAAGUGAAUUUGAGCAUGCAGCCAACCCUGUAGGAACCACAGACUUUGAAUUCUCAGCAGCUCGGGCCUUUAUGACUUUCACUGGCAGCCGCUCUGGUACUGGGUUUCUGUCUCUCCAUUUUCUUUCAUAUAAUUUCCAUUCCGAAUCAAAAAUUCCAUUUAAUUGCUCAGCUACUGUGUGGACAAAGUUUCCUGGAGGAUUGUACUUCAUUGCAUUUGAAAACGUAAGUCUUACAUCUGCUGCAAACUCAUCAGUGCUAGGAUAAUUCUUGUUUGUGAGUUUCUUCUUUACAGUACCCAAGUCCAUUGGAUUGCGGAUAACAUCAAAGUAAUCAGGAAUCCCAAAUAGUACUGGAUCAACCGGUUCAUGAAAAAGCCACCCGCCCGUGUGACCCAUGAGCUUCUCCAGAACAUUUUUACAUUGCCUUGCCUGGCUAGCAUUCAUGCUUUCAACCUUGUUCUUAGAGGAUGGUCUGUGCUCAUAUGUAGAACUCGGCAUCACCCCAGAUUUCUGAGACCUUUUACUUCCCUCGACCUCUGAGUCUGUACCAGAAUCUUCUGACCCACUACUUAUAUAAACUUGUCUCCUCUUCUUGCAGGAUAGUGUAAUCAUUGUGUUUGGUCAAAAUUCUUGCUAUGCAGUCUUGACAAAUGACCAAUAACUUCAGACUUGGCAAUGACCCCUCUGAUAGGCACAUAUGACACGGCGCAGCUUCUCAGUCAGGGCUGGAGGCAGAAUAUUCAGACCAAAGUGAGAUGCUUAACAUGCCUAGACAAGAACAAUAGGCAAACACAGGGAAAAUACAGAGGACAACAACAGCAUUUACUCCUAAACUAUCCAUUUUAACAGGAACUGUUUAUUUAACUGGACAAAUUUACGGUGGUAUUGAUCCAAUACAAACUGUGAAACAACAGCAUCUACUGCUCAUGAAGACACAGUUUAUCAAUGUGUUCCGUACAUUUGGAAAGAGAAAAGUAAAAAGUCAGAACUCAGAACGAGCAAAUGUGUGCUAGAGACACUGAGUCUGGUCACCAUAAUCUGCUUCACUUGGUGACAAGUUAUGGUUUUUGAGCAAAACGUCUGAUCACCAUAUUCUGCUUUAGUAAGUAACAAAAUUACAGAGAACUUUAUACACCUAGCAAAUGCAGUAAGUGUUUCUUGUAUACAGCACAUCAAGAUAUGUUCCAAGUGGAAAGUACAGAUUUACUACAACACACAUGGAAACAGGAACCGCAUACAGGUCAUGUAAAGAUAAAACUGGGACAAUUGUACAAGUUUAAAGAAAGAAAUUUGAAGAAAUGCCUCAGCGCAAAGGUAUGUUCAUUCUGCAACUAAUGUGACAGGAAAAACAGAUCAAAGGAAAAUAACAUUUCCAGUCAACAAAAUAUUAUCCUACUGAUUCCACGUUUCUAUUUAAUCGGCAAAAGGUCACUUUGGUGUAAUAAUAAACCAAUAGAGCGAUAAUAGUUAUGUACCUUACCAACUUUAAAACUGUUCAGUACUAAUUUUAUGAGCAGAUAAGCGUCAAUUUGCUACCACGAUCACAAUGCGUACACAACUUGCCAAGAAAGGCAACUUCACACCAUUCCACCCUAUUUCCUUUUCCGCCAUUAUGUUCCAAGUGGAAAGUACAGAUUUAAGACACCGCACGUGGAAACAGGAACAGCAUACAUGUCAUGUAAAGAUAAAGCAGGGACAAUGGUACAAGUUCAAAGAAAAAAUGCCUUAUUUCUCAGCGCAAAGGUAUGCUCAUUCUAUAAUUAACGUGACAGGAAAAAAGGAUAAAAAGGAAGAGAACACUUCCAGCCAACAAAAUAUUAUCAUACUAAUUCCACGUUUCUAUUUUAGUCGCAAAAAGGUCAGUGUACUAAAGAAACCAAUAAGGCAUAUAGUGAUGUUGAUGUAACUUACCAACUUUAAAACUGUUUCAGUACAUAAUAUUCAUUAUUUUGCAGAUGGAAUCUCUAAAUUGUGAAGUGACUAGCAUGGUUUUUGAGUUGCCUAGUCGAGUCGAGUCGACCCAACAGACUAGGAGACUGGUCCGAUUAUUCGGAGACUAGUCUCGACUAAUUGGCCCAAGUAGAGUGUGAAGAGGCAAGGGCGAGGUUUUGGUAGAGGGAAAGCUCGAUUGCACAGUCGCUGUGGUGCUGGAGCUUGAAGGAGAGGUCAGGUGGGAAGGAAGGUCUUCGAAGGAGCCUGGCGGUGGUUUACAAUGGAGCUGCCGCCAUGAGAGGGAGAAGAGGAAGAACUCAAGGUGAGUUUUAAGGGUGAGGGACUAUGCAAUUCCAGGCCCAUGAAGGUCCAUUUAAAACCCCUAGAUUUCAUUAAGCCAUCCAGACCGUCCACACAUCUGGAAGCUAUCCAAACGGUUCAUCAAGAUUGAAGGCUUGUAAAAUACUACUCUCUUCUCUCCCUGCAGCCGCCACUGCAGUUCUCUUCUCUCCCUCCCCACGUCUUCAUCUCUUUCUCGUCACACCAAUGCGUCCGCCGCCACUACAGCUCUAUUCUCUCCCUCCCCUCGCCUUCUUCUCUUUGCCCACAAACCAAUUGUGAUGUAGAACUGCAGAUCGACUGUCGAUUCCAUAGCGGAUAAGGAAAUCACCCAACAAAUUCUUAUCUCCAAGGCCAAUCGCGAGUAUCGGCGUUCCUAAUCGCCCGACUAGUCGGAGCAAGUCGCAGUUCUAGCCGAGGAGUCGGGUGACUUGCUCUGCUAGUCGAGUCGCAGCAGCAAGCCGCCAUCACUUCACCGGCUAGUGGACUAGUUGACGACAAGUCGUCGACUCAAAAACCAUGGCGACUACUCCCUCCGUUCCAUAAUUCUUGUCGAAAUAUUACAUGUAUCUAGUCACUUUUUAGGAAUAGAUACAUCCAUUUUUGGGCAAAUCUGAGACAAGAAUUAUGGAAGAGGGAGUAGUUACUAAAUUAUCAUCAAUUUUAAGAUUGCUAGCCACUUGAUUUGCGGUUCAGUGCAUAAUAAUAUAAUAAAAAACCUGAAAUUAUCCAAUCAAUCCUUAUAGCAACAUUUCUUGUUUUACUCCAGCGACAGAAACAACAAUCAGGAUAAUGGAUGGACGCAUAUGCCUAGCGAUAUUGAGCAAAGGUAAACUAAAAAAACAGUGCAUAUUUUAUUCCUGUUUGAAACAACACAAGUACAGGCUUGAUAACUUCCUAUGCAGAACAUAAAAAUAAUAUGAUAGAAAGAUUCCUGUUUGAAGUAAGUCCUAUUUUGCAAGGUUAUAUAAACCUGUACUUGCAUUUUUUGUUCUUGAAGCAAUGAAGACAUAUUUUUCCCAGCUCCUGCAAUCAAGGUUCAAAAAGGCACUAGGCAGGCGUUUUGCCAGCAACUAAGCAGCGACAUGGAAGAGAGGACAAAUGGCCAAGUUGCAAGAGGGGAGGGGCUGGACAGCCGGGUCGCAGCACCGGUGGGGCAUGAUGUCGUGGGUCGCAGCUAAGGCGAAGUUGGAUGAUAAGUCACAGCAGGGAGGAGUGCUGUGAGGGAAGGAGGAAGAUGACAGGGAAUUAGGGAAGAAACAUAUCUGCACAGAGAGAGAUAUGUGGCCCACCAUGGCCCAUCUGCAAACCCCAGUUUUCUCAACAAGUAUGGACUAUCUAUCUUCCACGACAAAUCUGAACCGUCCACUCCUCCAUCUAUGUAUCCAGCCACCAGCGACCACGUAUGAUGCUUCCAAAGAAAAAUGAUCACCUGUAGCCUCCUGUAAAGCUCCCUCCCUCCCUGCCUCCCUCAUAACAAGAGCUCUGUCUAGGGCAGAAGCACCACGUUGCCCAGGCCUACACAAGGCGGAGUACUGUUUUUUGCAACCUUGCAUGCAGUGCUCGUUCACGACUUCAAGGACCCCAACAAGCAAAUGAUAUGUUCAUUCAACAUGUCAUCUUUCCACCUUAUAUACUAGUACUAGGUCGUGUAUACAUCCAUUUAACGCAUAAUAUUCAGCACUUACUACCAAAGCAGGACGGGGAUACACAUCAACAUAUCACUAAAGUCCAAACCCUGGAAGACGAUUCCUUACCCAAACCCUAGAAGCAUCAAUUAUCCUCCAAGACAUAUGCCAACACAAAAUUCCUUAACGAAAUCCUACAGACCAAAUUACGGCAGGGCAGAGUGGCAAACAGCGAAUGAUACAAUCCCCGAUCUACGGAAACCUAUCCGAAAUUACCAAUUACGCGUUAGCACGCUCGAGGCGCAUCCAGUCGCUUAAAAGGCCUGGGAUCAUAGAUCAGAGCCCAGAAGAGGGCGAGAAAGAGGAGGAGAAUCACCAACCUGAGGGUCUCGUCGUCGGCUCGGAGGGCGCCCCCCGGGUAAUUUCCCUCCCAAAUCCUUUGCCCGGGGGGGCGCGCACCGAGAAGCAGGCCGCAACUUCGAUUCUUCUCCAACGACCGGGGUAGAUACGUGGGCGUGCGGAGCGCCGCCGAAGCACCGCUUCCCUCUUCGCCGGCGUGAGGCGGUGGGAGGCAGGGAAGAGGGGCCGAAAUGCAGGGGCUCGCGGAGAAUAGGCUAGGGUUCCAGCCCGGGCUCGCUUCGGAGCAAAGAGAGGACGGGGCAGGCGGGGGGAGACCGGACCUUGCUGGGAUGAGGCCGGCACGAAGGCGAGGAGGACGUCGGCCCGCCGCUGAGGCCCUGCUAGGGUUUGAGGGGAGGAAAGGGGAGCCGGAGAGGGGAAAGGGAAGGCGGUGCGCGUGCGUGCGCGAGAAAGAAGGGGACGCGGCUUGCCUGCUCUCUCUUCGUCUUUUCUGUUUUUUUUACAGCGUACUCCCUCUUCUUCCUUUCCCGUGCGAUUUUGCCCCCUCCGAUCAUUUUGGAGUGCCGUUUAAAAAGAUAGAUCUUCGACUCGUUUUAGUCCUUUGUCAUGUUGCAUACAGAGUGUAAUUAGUUCCUGGCUCUACUAUGUUUUCACCUCAGCAAAUAUUUUUAUUUCGUUGUAAAAAUGCUUCGACACACUAAUUGUAUUUAAGUUGCUCGUAAUGGGAACAAUAAGCCAUAUUUCAAAUGCUUCCACGCCAUCCUUUAAUCUGAAUGGAUUAGACCCAAUAGUCCGGCGCAUUUAUUACUCUCCGUGUCUUCUUCUUGCUCACAGCAUGUAACGUGGCAUCUGCACACCUAGGUCCGCAGUGAGCCUCCACCAACACUUGGGUUGUGAAUGAGUAAUGAUCCUAGAUAAUCUCCGCAAAAUUUCCAAAUCCACGCAUUACACACAUAAAAAGAUCCAUGGAUGCAUGUGAAGCAUGACAAGUGUGUUCUUCCUCCUCAUGGGAGAGUCUGGCCUGCUUUGCGGCAUGUGAUCAUUCCACAUCCAAUAAGACAUACUAUGAUCGUUCGAAAACCAUUCGCCCAUUGAUAAUUUGUGCAACAAAAAACGACUCAAUGCAAAACUAUUGUAUCUCGCCCUGAUGGAUUGACCAACCUCUCAAUUGGAUAGCUGGUCAGUCUAACAAAUCAAUUGGAACAUACUACGCGUGAAUGAGUAAGGACAAGAGGCGUUGAUCGUGAUUUAGGGUUGCAAAGCCGACUUUCAAAACGUUAGUGAAGGAGGACACCCGUAAUACCGAGUUACUAUUGAUGGUUGCAGUAUAGCUUGAGGAGAUGUUGGAUGUGAAGGCAACAUUGCAAGAUGGCCAGGGGAAAAGAGAAAUCGAGCAGAGACAUGAGAUGAAAGUGCAGCGACAUGUGAAGGUACAAACGUCGGUUAGAGAGAGCCCACAUGGAUGGAAUAGGUCGAUUAAUAGGCAUUGAUGAUAGGAGCUGUAUCUCUACUUUAUACAAUAAUCAUCCUUCUUUCUUCCUUAGUUACCACUCUGCACCGAGUAUGUGGCAACUGGCAAGUGCUAAGAGAUAUGUUCAAUUGAUCGACCUUGGUGGUUGGCUUUGUCCUUGGCUAACCAAGCGCUAACUUGAAGAGAACAUUUUAAUUAGUCUCUACGUUCCAUGUUAAGUGACUCAAAUUUGUGCAAAUAUGAAUGUAUAUAUAUAGCCAAAAAACAUCUAAAUACAUUUAAUAUGGGACCGAGUAUAACUUUACAAUAUUUUCUGUAGGGCGGUAGCACAGGGAAAGAAGGUAAUUCUUCCCUUACCAUUAGCAGGGGACAAGUGGCUAGCAGGCAGAACACGGCGGACUUUUUUUUUUUUUUUGUUGAGAAUCUCAACUUUUUCUUGUUCUUUUUUUUAGCAGAAACUUUUUCUUCUUCUGAGGGCAAUCACGAGCACGGCAGGCAAAGCUGCCUUUCGGCCUUUCCAUUUCCAAUAGUACUAAUGGGCUGAAGCCCAAACAUUGGUGGCAGCGUAUUUCGGCCCAACUAAGCAUGGAUCGUGGGAUGCACGGGCUUUACUUCCGUUGGGAAUGGUUUGGACGCCCCAGGUGUCGCCGCCGUUUACUCGGAGAAAAAAAGGGGGCCGCCGCCGAAGUCGACGGGGGCGGACCGGCGGAGAGGGAGGCUGCCGAAGUGCCGAUGCCGGGGCUCUGAACUACGACAAUGUUGCUCGUCAGUGAUCUCGCGCUGUCGGCGGCCGGGGGUCUCUUGCUCCGCGUGAAGGCUCGGGGAACCUGUCGCUCCGCACUCCGCACCCUGCAGCUCAAGGUGAGGACCAGAUUUAUGUUCCAUUUUGCAGUGCUCUGGGGUAGAAUUGCGUGCUCUCAGCCGGUCGCAAACCAAUUUAGCUUUUCUAGUGUAAGAUUGUGUGAUUUGUUUUGGUGCUGUUGUGUCGUUAAAGGCUAGGAGGUUGUUAACACCAGUGUAUUGUUUUGUAAGGUUGUCAUAUCUGAUGCCAAAACGUCACAUUCACAUAUCGGAAUUGUCGCCAUAUUCUUCAGCAACUGUUGGAGGUGCAGCAGAAACCUGGGAAGUGGGAAUUCGUAUCUCCUAGCAUGGUUAACAUUUCGGAGUCUUACCCAAAUCCCACUCCCCUUGUGUUGUGGUAUACUUCUCUGAUGUAGAAGUUCGUACCUGUUGUUGACCAAGCUUCUGGCACUUGCCUGGUGCAUUGGUGCAAGUUUAAGAAACAAGAAGUCCUGACACUUGCUUUUCCUUGUUCCAUGAAGAUUGUCUUCUGAUUGGUAGCAAUCUUUUUUUUCUGGUGAGUUCAUUUAACAUUACAUUGCUGAACCAGACAUGAUUUGAUGCAAAAGUAAUAUUGAAAAGGUCAGUGUCCGAGGAGUGCUAGGUGAGUGGCUGGGUACUGCCUAGUUGCGAUGGAUGGCUGCCUAGACUGGCUGAGGCAGGAAGGUGGUGCCAAGUGCCUAGACUGGUGAAACAGCCCCAACUGUGCUAUUUGUUGCCAAAGGGGUUGGAUUAAUUCCGUCAGGGAGUUUACAAUAGGAACACUGAAAAUUAAAGUACAGUUGAAAGAGAGAGUUUACAAUAGAAACGCUGAAAUUAAAGUACAGUUGAGAGUUUGGGUGCUGGGUGUAGAAGAGAACUGAAAAGGAAACAUCUGUAGAACAUCAUCUGAAGCCUACAUUAGGACUCUAAUACCAAUUGACCGUGCUUCCACCCACAAAGCCGCCUCAUUCUUGAGAAUCAUAAUAACACUCUGGGAACUGAAACUUUCUGCUGGAAAACAUGUCGGUUCCUCUCCUUCCAUAUCUCCCAGGUGUGGAGGAUGAAGAAUGAAUCCACAGACGUAACACCUUGCUUCCCCCAUCAGGAUUUCGGCAAGUCCAAAUGCUCCUGCACUUUAGUACCUAUAGUUCAGAAACUAUUUUGCUCUUCUUUAUUGGAGCUUUUGUGCAUGUUUACCACACCACUCACUACCAAAUUUCAAUGCUAAAUUUAGUUUCAAAAACUGUGUUUUCUACUUCAGAGAUGAAGGAAGUAAAAGCUAGAUGAUGUUUACAUAAUAUGAUUUAUCAGCAUUUCUCCUUCUGAGGUUGUAUGUUAUGAUGGGUAAAAAAUCUAACUAAAAAUGCUUUCUUAGUAUGCAUUUCCCUAUUUAAUCAAACUAUAAACUUAAUAACUUCAAGCAACUGUACUUGAGUUCAUAAUUCCUUGCUUGACCAUAAGUGUAAGUGUAACUGUGCAAGCAAUAUGGAGCCUUGUGAAUAGGUGGCUUCACCGUGAAGAGUAUGACACAUGCAUCUGAUUUUGGCUCGUUAGAUGCUCAGCGGCUUGGGGGAGCGUUUUGCAGGGUGACAGAAAGAAGAAGCGACGUGUAUGUAGUAGUCAGCUGCUACACACCAUGUGGAAUAUUUGGAAUGAAGAAACCAUCUCAUUUUCACUGGAAAGCACCUUUUGAAUGCUGAUGAUCUCAUAAGCGUCGCUGCGUCAGCAUGUUACUUAAUUUCUAGUGCACACCAGAACUUUUUACAGUGUUCUACUUAUUUAAUUGCCAUUCCAUAACAUAAAACUCUCACAUUACACCAUGAGGAUUGAUCACCCGUUGCUAAAACAUGAUUCAGAUGACAGCACCGAACUUUUGGUCUAAUUGUCUGUAGCGUGAUAUGUUCCCUUCAGUAGUCAGUGAGUAUUUUGUUUUAUUACAAGAAGGUUGAAUUAACAAUUUGUUCGUCCCCUGGAAUGGUGCAUAUUCAUGUUCUAUACUAUUUUUUCAUCUAAGAAUUAGUUCUCAUUUUUUCAAAUUUGCAAAAGAUUUGUUUCCUCAUCUUUAGUUUAUCUCAUUGUUGUAUCUUGACGGUGGAUCUUUGCUUAAUCUAUGGUGGUAUGACUCUAUAAGAUGGUAUGGAUGCUCCACCAUUUAAAAUUGUUUUUUUUUGUGUUUGAGUACAUAAUAAAGAGAAUAAAGAAAAGUGAAGACAUGGCCCAAUUUUUUUUUACUCUGCUGACUUGCUUUUCCAUGAACUGUUCCUCACCGUCCUAAUCUUAUAUUGUUCUGUAGCUUACAUUGGCCUGCAUGAACAUGGGAAUGCUAGAGGUUCCUUGAAGGGCCAUUAAUGCAGUGGUCACUGGUCAACUGCAAUCACGAUUAUGACACCCUGCCUGGAGGUUUUAAGUGGAAGCAAUCACAGCUAAAUAUUGCUUGGUCUCUACUCUCCAAGAUGUUUUCAGAAAACCAAGGGCUGUCCUGGUCCUGACUAGCAUUUUAGGACAUUGAGUUACUUGGAAGCCAAGGCUGUGCUUACUGCCUCUCAGGAUAAUGGCCAAGCUAUAUACUGCAUGCCAUCUGGCCAAAUUUUCCACAGCAGGUAAAACACUGGACCUCUCUAUACGGCUAUAGUAUCUUGAUAUCGUCACCGUUAAUUUCUCUAUCAGAGAGAGCCACAGGCUCACAGCAUAUAACAGUGUAGAAAACUAUAGGCGUGUAAAAAAAACAUUUUAGUGUUAAUUAUACCUAAUUUUUGAUGGUGCACCAGGGAUUAGCAGCAGUAGGUCACCAGGAUCAUGGAAUUUUUGUUGAAAUUGCAUAUAGUUUUCUGUGAAUAUCAAAGUUGUGCACCUGGGUAUUUUUUUGCUAGCUCCGCCCCUGGGCGUGUGGCAGUAUAAGUGUAUAACUAAAUAUGCACAAGUCAUAAGGUGUUCGUGCAUUCAACUCCUAUUACCUACUCAUGUGCAUGUGCACAUAGGGUUAAAUAUCAUCAACAGAGAGGUUGCUGGGCAAUUGAAGUAGAACGACACUAGGUGAAGGAGGGCACAGACUGGGGGAGAAAUAUGCCUGGAUCGAAUAUCCGGUCGAAGGAAAGACCACGGCAGGAUUUUAAGAACUAGGAACCUUUGCUUAAUUUGCUCUGAAGAGGACACAAAUCUGCGAUGCCAUCCUUUAAGCAGCAAUUACUUGACUUGACCCCUGAGAAAAAGUAUCUACCUUAAAAGACACAAACUAACAGAAGAUAAGCAUUCAGACUACAAAUUAUUCUAAUCUGUAACACAACGCAUUCAGACCCCUGAGAAUAGGAACUGUGGUGAAUAGUACUGCAUGAUAAUGAAGUGCAAAACCAUUUCUGACUUAGCACAUAUUGACACAGAGAAUUGCAUGUACAGGUUGAAUAUGAUUAUAUGACCAUGUCCCGUUUCAGGAUGUGUGUACUGAUGUAUUCCUUGAACAUUUGUUAGUUGAAUCUGUAUGUGUUUAAUGUACUCAAUCAUCCAUACUUUUGUAUGGCUACGCUAUCAACAGUAGCUGAUUGUAAUAUACUCAAAUAUUGCUGCCUCCAUCUGUUUUUAGUUUUAGUUUUUGUGAACUGUGAAAAUUGUGAAUUGGAGUCUGGAGUUAGGUCUCACUUUUGUGAAGAGCUCCCUUUAAGAAAAAGGCUAAUAACAUAUGAUCUGACAGAGGGAGGGAAGGAGGGAGAGAGAGCAGAAAUAUUACUCCCUCCAUUCCAUAAUUCUUGUCUCAAAUUUGCCCAAAAAUGGAUAUAUCUAUUCCUAAAAAGCGUCUAGAUACAUGUAAUAUUUCGACAAGAAUUAUGGAACGAAGGGAGUAGUUACGAGGAACAAUCAGUUUGCUGAAAAGGCAAUAGUACAUUACUACCAUACAACCAUAACUUAUGUACAAAGCUAGCCACUAUUACACAGGUCACGGAAACACACACACACCCUACACCAUAAUACUGGGAUGUCUGGCUAUAGCAGUCAGAGAGCCAAAAUUUUGGGGACACUUCCACCUACCUAAUCCCCACAGUACAAACUGCCUGCAAUUCAAUGUCCAUUGCUAUUAUUUUUCUUUGCUGACAUCGCUGCUGUUAUCAUCAUCGUCAUGGACGCAGAAGAGGUCAAGGCGGCUGUGGCUUAGGCGGAGCGAGUACAUUGUUGUCUUGUACUCUGCCCAGGUGAACGAUCGAUACCGACGUGGUGAGCCAGCUGUGACCGUCUCUGGGAGCGCUGAGAUUCGUGCAUGCAGUGGUGGCGCUGCAAAGUAGAUUGUGGACAGCCUUGGCCUGCAGGCGCUUGCGAUUACCCUGUGCCGGACGCUUAGGAGCUUCCCAUUUGUCAGAGCCUGGAAUUAAUGGAGAAGGCAGAUUAAAACAAUAAUACAAAACAAAUCUCAGGCUCAUAGCAUCAUCAUGGUUAAUUCAAUGAUUUUAUUAGGUUCAGUAGAACAGCUGUAUUCACAGGACAGAAAUAGAUGGUGUCAUGACUCGUGUCUCAGCUGGUAAAGGGAACUUUAGGCGAUAAAAUAAGCAAAAUGUCAGUGUUGGCAAGUCUUUGGCAUACGUGGAAAUAGUUCGAAUUUUCGAAAAACAUGGAGGUCUAAUCAGAUAUUCUUUUGUACAUAAAAGGGUUAAGCACAUAAUGACCAUCCUUUUCAGCAAGUAAAUAAACUGGUCUUAUGAUCCAUCGGAAAAAAAAAAACUAAUCGUAGUCCCUUUCAGGCUAACUCUUUGUUUGUUUUAGAAUCCAUGUGGGUUUUCCUUUUUAUCAGCAGUUCGUGUAAGCAUAUAUAUAUGUCUAACGGUUUUUUUUUGCCGUAAGGUUAUGUGGUGUCAUUACCUGGAGGAGAUCACCAACAUUGACGAAAAAUGCUGAUGAGUCUGCCGGCACCUGAAUCCACACCUCCUUGCCGUUGACAUCCGGCAGAAGCACCUGCAGGCCGUCGACGUCGUUUGCCCGGAGCAAGCUAAGGAUCUGCGGGUCGGAGUGCUCACCGAACCCGAUCCGCCCACCUCCCGUUGGGUUCCCACCAUUUCCAGCCUUGGCCCUGCAGGCAGUCCCCUUGAGCUUGCAUUGGCCAUCAUGGUCAAGCUUGUGAACGGUGCAUGAUGGAGGGUAGUGGUUGAUCCUCAGGAGGGAGUCACUGUCAGGUUCUGUGAUGAGCUUGCUGAAGGAUCUGGGGUCCUCAAGGCCUAGCCCCUCUCCUAACAGGUCCAGGAUGUCACAUGCAAGCUGCUUCACUGCCUCCACAUACUCAUUCACCACACAACUGCAACAAAAGCGAAUAAGGAAUUUCAACACGUGAGUCAAAUCAAACACAGGAUAAUUUUUUUUAUUAUCAAAAAGGUUGCUGUUAUCACAAUCAGCUGCAUGGCCAUCAAAAGUAGAUAGAAGAUUGGAGAACUAUGGGGAAGAUUUUGACUGAUGGACGUGUGAACCUGCAGCAACACAAAAGCUGCAUCCUCUGCCUGCCUGCCGGCCUGCCUGUAUCUACACACAUGCUAUAUUUGUUUCUUGUGGCGCAUGGAUAGCUCAGAAUCAGCAGUCAGGGUGCAGCUGAGUGUGACAAAUUUUCCAAUGGGCGUAUGGGUUCUUGACAGGAUUGGCCAUGCCUUUUUCACUGCUCCAUGGAAAGACCCAUGAGAACUUGGAUCAUAUAUCACUGACACUACACAACAUCUGGGAUAUUUCAUUUACCUUACCAUAAAAGGACCCUUUGCAUGUGUGCCUCCUUUCUUUUGCUUGGCUUUAUAUGGAUAGCAUGGAUAUGCUCUUUUGGGGGGCCUGGGGUUCAUUUUUAUUCUCAUCAAGCCUUUGUACUUCCAUCUCGGGGCCCCUCCCCCUUUUUUACAGUAACAAAAGUAGGUUAUUCUUCUUUAUUGUCUUGGAUAGAUUUCCAGGUUAUCCAGUUUUAAAGCUGAAGGAUUUCUGAAAUACUCCCUCCGAUCCUAAAUUGUUGUCGAAAUAUUACAUGUAUCUAGACGUUUUUUAAGAAUAGAUACAUUCAUAUUUGGCCAAAUUUGAGUCAAGAAUUUAGGAUCAGAGGGAGUAUUAGUUUAGGGGGUUGAUUUUCUGUCUAGUGACUGCACUAGGAUGCUACUAUCAAUAUUUUCUCAACUGAUGUGCUGGUUACAAGCUUAGGCUUUUGUAUGUAAUCAAGGCCUGAAGCUUAACAUUCUUGUACUGAAUUGGCUAUUUUUCCAUAUUAAGGAUUGGGAUAUGUAUUAAUGGCUGAUGUAUGUAUAGAUGAUAGAGAGAUAAGAGGAGUCUCACAAAAUUAUAGUGUAUACACCAAAUAAACAUAUAUCAUUAAUUGUCUAUAUGAAAACUUGAUGUACUUUGCUAUUUAAGCUUACAGAGCUAUCUGGUAGAUAUGAAUGGUCCAACUUUCAAGUACUCUCAUUCUAUUGCUUGCUGCAUCAGUUGGUGGUUGGAUACUGCAAUUAAUGGCAGGCCACUGCAUAUAUGUCAGAUUAAUUGAUACACAGAUAUACACAGUUUGUUGGAGAGGGGCCUGAGAGGGGUCUUCCAGCUAACUACCUAAGAGAGGGUUUCCUUGUCCCUUUCAUCUUAUUUGCUCUCAACAAACUCUGGUUAAUUAGGGCACUGCCUGGCCUGAAUAGUGAGUGCUGUGUACUCUCGUAGUGUUGCAUGCAUGACCUUUCUUAUUCAGCAUACAUGUGCACAAACAUAGUCAAGGAGAUCUGAUCUGUUGUGUCCUGCCAGUUGAUUGGGAUCUUUCUUUCUCCCAUCUGGGACAAUUUUGUCUUUCCAUUUCAAUAAUAGCAUGCCGUUCUAUUUUCAUAGAGAAAAUCGGAAAUUAUCAAUUGCCAUGUUUGCUCUUUUUUCCAAUGUUUUUUGGGUUAGAUAGAAACCUAACUUUCAUGACGAAGAUAUAUCUCUUAGUAAGCCCAUCCUGUGGAGCUAUCAAGUUUGUUGUGUCCCAUCAAUUGUUUGCUCUUCUUUUGCUUUACAAACUAGCUAUGUUUGAUCUUAAAUCGUUGGAACCAACUUAUCAUUGGCCUGCCUAGCACAGCAUCAAUUGUGCCAUUAUUGCGAUAAUUAUUGUUUUGAAAACUAUGUGUUCAUGUAUUUUCUCAAUUUAAUUGAUGGGAUCGACCAUCUGAAAAUGACAAAUAUGCAUAUGUAAUGAAUUUCUGCCGUGAAGCAAAAAAAUGAAAACGCCCACACACUAGCAUAUACUCCCUCCGUUCCAUAUUAAAUACUCCCUCCGUUCCAAAUUAACUGACGUGACGUGGAUUUGCAUAGAUUCUUAUACAAAUUCACAUAAGUUAAUUUGAAACGGAAGGAGUACAUAACAUCGAUCAAUUAGCCACGUCAGAGUCAAAUGCAUUUUUAUUCCUUCUUAGUUUCGCAAGAGUGAGUGCAUGCAUGACUGAUUCCAAUGCUAGCUUCUAUUGACUUCUAAAUAAACAAGAGAUACUUAUAUAUUGUACUUUGCACAGAAGUCCUAUAUAUAUGUGCGCAUGCAUGUAUAUGCAUGCACAACAUGACGUGUCCUGUCUUACUAAAUAUUGGUACAAUCUGAUGCUAAUGAUACAAAAAUAGUACUGUACUAUAUUGUUUUGAUGUUUUGGAACAAGGUCAGGUCUAUUAAUUGUGAAACACAAUUUUCUUUUCUGCCCACCCAAUGAAGGGAUAAUUGCAAAUUAUUCUAUAACCAAUCCAAAAUAAAAUAAUUUUCAGUGGUAGUAUAUAUAUUUGACACUACUAGCAGGCCACACUGUUUUCAGAAUAGCAAUGCAUGAGAGACAGGUCCAGGCCGGAUUAAUAUGAAACCACAUUGAUCAUAGCAACAACAACAUCAACACAUAUAGUCAGUUGGUUAAUUAAAGGGGCACUGCUACAUGUAAGCUUCAGACGUUCAUGUCAUGUAUCAAUGCAUUGGAGCCUGACAUCGAUCUGACACCCCUAAUGCAAGCUAGCGAUGUCUUCCUUCGACAGUUUUGAGCCUUAAACCCCUCUAGGAGUUUUGUAGAACCCACUUUAGCGAUGCAUAUGAAAUCCAACAAUAACGCCUUUCUCUAACGGGCUCGAGCUUUCUGAACCGACUAGACUAAAAAUCCUUACUUUCCAAACGAAGAAAUACAUGUCUAGCAUUUCGUUUCGGCAUUUUUUCAGGCCUUGAUCAACCCUCUCAAGAGUUUUUUUUUUGUUAAGAAAACAUUUAGAGAUGAUGUACUGUAUUCAUUAGAUGUAUUAGUACUCCUUUCAAUUUAUAAUUAACUGCAGCAACUCUUAUUACGCAUCGGAGAGAGUACUGUAUGUGUGCCACGUGAGCAUGUAUAUAUACUCUCUCCGUCCCAUCUUAAGUGAUUCAAAUUUGUCUAAAUAUUAAAAUACAUCUAGAUACGUGCAAUAUUUCGACAUCUAAUAUGACGAGGGAGUACCUUAUUUAAGACGUGUAUGCGCGCGCGUGUGUGCAUAUAUUGGAGGACAUACUAUAUGCAUGUAACUAAUACGGAGUACAUGUAAUUAGCUAGCUAGUUAUAUUUACCUGAAGUGCUUGGGGUCGUGGGCGUGGAUGGAGGCGGCCUUGUACGCGGGGUCGUUGGCGUGGAGGAGGAGGUACUCCAGCUCGCCGACGUCGCCGCUGAAGCCGAUGGUGCGGCACCCGUAGCCCAGCGGGCUGCUGGGCGGGCCCUGGCCCUGGACGCCGCGCGCGCGCUGCUUCUCGUGGGCCGGCAGCGCGAAGAAGGCCGCGGUGGCGGCGUCCAGCUGCCGGGCCGCCGGCGCCGGGCCGGGCACGAGCACGCCGUGGUUGACGGCCCGGAAGAAGCCCUGCUCCGCGCACGCGCGGGCCACCUGCCGCGACAGCAAGCCGCGGGGCGCCGACAUGUCCACCGUCGGUAUCGCCGGCAGCUGCAGGGCGGCCGCCGCCGUGGCGAUCUCUUGCCGCGCCGGCGUCGUGGAAGAAGGCACCACCAUAUUGAGUACAAUGCGUUGUGUGCGUGAGGGGAAGAGAGAGCUGGCCGGAUGAGCACUUGCAAGGGUCGAGCUUCGAGCUAGCUAGAGGAGAGAAGAGAAUGGGACUAUGAGAGUUGUGUCUUCAAAGUGGAGGGGGGAGAGAGUGGCUGGCUCUGCCGCCGCACUGGUAUAUAUGGACAUCUGGCGGAGAGAGAAGGGGAGAGAUUCCCGGUAGUAAAAAUUAUGGUCGUGACCCUAGUGAUCUAUAUUUUUGACUUGUGUAACGAAAUAUCUGCUCCCUCACUCUCAUAAUUAUAAUUAUUGUUUCAAAUUUGUCCAAAAUGAAUGUAUCUAUUCCUAAAAAGCAUUAGAUAUAUUUAAUAUUUUGAUAAGAAUUAUGUGACGAAGGAAAGUACUCCCUCCGUCCAAAAAAAGAUGUCUCAAGUUCGUCAAAAUUUGGAUGUAUGUAGACAUCAUUUAGUGUAUAGAUGCAUCCAAAUUUAGUCAAAAUUGAGACAUCUUUUGUUGAACUGAUGGAGUAUAUGCUUUUCUGGAGAGUUAUUUGAAAGACGGUUAUUUUCGUCGUAAGAGUUUGUGCACCUACGAGUGCAGCAUUUAAAUCUGCAAUUUUUUAUUAAAAAAGUAUCACAAUGCCUUCGGCAUAUGAUUUUAAGUAAAAGACGCAAAUCUUCGCAGAUAGCACCAUAGCCUUCGGAUUAGUAUCUAAUGGUCAUCCCUACUCCUUCUUUUCUGCCUGUUCAUUCCAAGUCUUAACAUACAAAAGAUCCUAUCAAUGGCGGACCAAUCGACUGAUCUGUAACUAAAAAUAAAGCGACUUGUACAUAGCAAAUCCCAAAAAACAUAACCACACAUACUUCGCAAAGGAAAAUUACCUGCAUUUUGACUACGAAGGUUUUCUUUUUGCAAGACACAAAUGAACGUAUAUUUUCGGCCGAAAUUUACAGUUUGCAUAUAAUAUUUUUGGGGGUUAUUUCAUAUUCUCUUGAUCUUUGAGAUCACUUAAAAAACUGAGAGGGUCCCGCAAAUUUGCGAGAAAGAGGACCUACUGAGGCAAGAGAGAAACCAACGAAAGGGUAAAAUUGAUAUUAGUCAUACCCUUUAAAACCCAUAAGAAAUUUGUACAGUCAACAUUUGUUCAUAUAAUUGGCAAUACUAUGGGAGUUUUGGAUGAUAUUAAAACUUAAGUAAAAAAUUAAAUAUGUUUAAGGAUGUUUAGUUACCUUAAUCCAAUCUAGAAUUUGAAAUUAGGAAAGAGAGAAUUCUAAAACUCUGCAACAUAAUUUAGAUUUUAAUUCACUUUCGGGUCACAAGGACCGAGAUAUGGUUUGGAAUAAGCAUCACUCAAAUUUUAGUUGUGAGAUAUGAUUUAAAAGUGUCACUUAAUUUUGAAUUUAAACGGGUGAGAUGUGAAUUUUUUUCAGCGAUUAAUUAUUUUUAAUAUGUUGUGACAUGGCAUCUAUGUGGCGUUCGAAUCAUCUUCCCUAUGGCACUACAAAGUGGGUCCAAUGUGUCUAGAUGGGACAAACACGGUAAUAUGUCGAUAAUACACAACUCAAGGAUAGCAAGAGGAUGAAUUUUCAACUUAUAUAAUCUUUGACGCUAACUCUAAAAUAAGGAGCAAGAGCUGCAAUUUACUGUCAAAAAUUAAUUAACACUGCAUACAUAUAACUUUAUAAAAAAGAAAAAUAAAGUGGAAACAAAAGAGGGAACCUUGAAAUAUGUAGUAAUCUUUCUCAACAUUUAGUCCAGUGACUUAGAAAAUCAUGUUUAGUUAUAUUUGUCUCAAGCAGUAAUUUUAUAACACUAAUUAAUUUCUUAGUUUAUAACAAACAAGACAAAUUACUGGUGGUUCAAAUUUUAAUCCGAGACCAGUUAACACCAAAACAGCAUGUCUAGUGAACCAUAUUUUUUUUUGAGCCCAGUCUAGUGAACCAUAUAUGUCUCCAACAGGAAAACCUUUGAGGGUUCACAAAGUUUACCAAUCUGUCAAAAGCAAAGAAGUUCAUGGUCAGUUUUUAUUUAUUAACAAACCACUACAGUACUUAGAGACCAGAACAAGUUGAUAUCAUAUUCUAGCUAACCUAUCCAGGUAUCCUGGUUACGAUGGCAAUAAAAAUACCAUCCAAUAAAUAUCCAACACCGGUGGAAUAGUCACCAUCGACCAGUACUCAUCCGGUCUAAUAGAUGGAUGAAAUCAACAUGACAGUGUCCCUUAAAAAUCAACAUGGUUUGAUGUGAGGACUCAACGCCCUAUGUUUAUCUCUACGUACGUGUUAGUGCUAUAGAGGCUCUUAUUCCUCUCUCUAACGUAAAAGACAGAUGCUCUGCUAAGCUUUAUUAAGACAGAUAUAUAAAAAUAAAGAACAGAGUGGGUUCUGUACAACAAAGAGAGUACCACGAAAAGAAGAGAAAUAACGCUCUAACAUUAGAGGGAAUUUCAUACGUACCAUCCAGAAUUUGUCCAGAUGCACAUGAUACCACUCAGAAUUUCCUCUUUGCAAAUAUACCACUAAAAUUUUGAACCGCGUACAAAUUAACCACGACAAGUAUUUAGGAACGGAGAAAGUAUUUGAGUAUAUUAUUUUCAUAUUGUUUUCAACACUAUUUUGGUUGUAAAUUAUUGUACGAGGUGGGUAUAUUAUUCUGCUGGAACUUAUUGGGGAAAUAGUGAUGUUAAGCUAAAAAGGGAUUCUUGUUGUUAUUUCAGGCCAAAAUUAUUUUCUUGAUGAAAUUUAUUCUAAACUUGUUUGCUUAACUAAUGGUGAUUAUGUACAUCAUAAUAAAGAGUUGUGGCUGACCGUGUCAAAGGUGCUAUGGGCAAAACAGUCUUUUCAUCAGUCAUUUGAGUCAACUAACGGCGCUGGUUAAUUUGGACGCGGUGCAAUAUUUGAGUGGUAUAUUUGAAAGGCAAAAUUCUGAACAGUAACCAUUUGGGCAAAUUUUGAAUGGUAUAUAUGAAAUUUCCUUAUCCAGAUGUCCUUCAUCGCGCGCCGUGAAAACCAACUCUUCAAGCCAGAUGUUCCACAACAGUCGCGUAGAUCAACACCAUAUCCUGAGAGAGAAAAGGUUCCUUCUUAUGUAUGCAUCGGAAUCUAAUCCAAAUUCAGAGUAAUAAAGCGGUGGUGUGAAUAUAAUCACCCUAAGAUGGAUGGUGCAGAGCCAGCAGAUUGAGGAUCCAGCCAUCCAGGCAUGUAGAACAUGAGUAAUCACCAAGUCUUCCAAACUUGUGUCUUGUUUGCAUCCUUGAAUGAGCUAGCGUAUAAAGUCCAAUAGUCUUGUUAGCUAAUAGCGGCUCUUUUAAUUUCUCGGCUUGGGGAAUUAAUUGUCGCAUGCAAGUUGCAUCAAUCAUGCCGGAGAUGCCGCAAACUGUCACGAAAUGAUAUGACAAAGGCGGCACAAAGGAUCAAAACCCUGGUUGGCCGGUAAGCAAACUGUCACAACUACAAAAACAGUCAUCUAUAGUCCCCGUCAAAAAAAAAAAAUAGUCAUCCAUAGCCAGAGGACUCUCUAUCACGUCUGAGCUCACAGAUAAUACUCCCGUUUUUAGAUAUAAAUAACAAAGAAAAACUCCCUCUGUUUCUAAAUGUAAAAAGACAUAACUUUGUUCUAAGUUAAAGUAAAAGACAUUGGAACACAAAUCUUAUGUCGUUUAAAAAAAUUAAAUGUAAAAAGACAUAACUUUGUUCUAAGUUAAACUUUUGCCAGGUUUAUAGAAAAAAUCACAUCUGGGAUUCUAAAUUAGUUUUUAUUAAAUCCAUCAUUUUUUCCAUAGUAUAGUAUAUUUAUUUCUCUACAUGUUAAUACAUUUUCUAUAAACUUAGUCGAAUUUAAAAAGUUUGACGUAGUACAAAGAUAAUACUUCUUAUAUUUAGAAACAAAGGUAGUACCUUGCCACUUUCUAAAUGCUCAACACUAAAAUUAUUUAUUAAUCUCUAAAAAUAGAAAUAAGACAAAAUAAAAUAAUGUUCUAAUUUAGAUGGGCUGAUCCGGCACACAGGAGUAACAAGUUGCCAUACAUUGUUAGUGUAAAAUAUUUGUUCCGGUGUAGGUAGUAGAAAGUAUACAUAUGAAAAUGGACAUAUAUCCACAUGGAUGUAUGAGGGGCGGGUCCACUUUGAGGGCUAUGGGGACAGCUGCCCUCACUCGAUUUUUAGCCUCUUUUUACCGGACUUAUGGUGUACUUCCUAUGAUACUAAAUUUUUGACUCAAAUUUGCUUAAAUAUAGACGUAUCUACUUAAAAAGUGUCUAGAUACAUGUAAUAUUUCGACAACAAUUUAGAAUCAGAGUACAAAAUGUUGCCACCCCUGCAUGUAUUCAUGAAUAUUCAGUUUAAUUUUAUCAUGAUCCGCCCAUGGAUGCAUAUGCAUGAAUCGACGCGCGGCACAAAGCCGCCCACAUAUAACAAGUUUGCAGUCCGCAGAAGUGCUGACUGUCUCUUCAGUGGUCGACAUUAGCCUAGCUAGCCAUGGCAUCAAGCUAAUUAACAAAAUUAUAGCAGAUACAAAGUUGUACUAGUUAGUUAGCAUCUUUUCGUUUUAGACCUAGAAUAUGCAUGUCAUCUCUACUCUACGUGUAUUUAGCUAGCUAAAUUAAGAACACACACAUAAUUUUUUCUCUUUAAGGCAACACAAAUAUAUACACAUUAGAUUCCUCAACAGUGACACAUAUGUGAUAAGCACGUAGUCUAACCAAUAGUCUAAUGCACAUCAAUAAUUAAUCCAUAGGAAGUUGGUCCUAAUUGCCUAAAAACAUAGUUAAGUAGCGUUGAUUUGUUCAGGUGCAGUGCUCGUCAAUAAUAUGCACGCAUGCAUGCUUUGCUCAGUGUGUAGCUAGCGUGAAUGUGCAUGAACCUGACCAGUUCGAUUAUUAAGGUGGGUAGUUAAUUAUAUUUAUUAUUAGAAGGGAAAUGAUCAUGUAUACGUAAGAAUAAAUUUUGCAAAAACUGCAAUUAAUUUAUUAUAGUUUUUUUAGAAGAAAACUGCAAUUAUUUGUCACCGGUACAAAGCAACUCGUCUUAAUAAACUCUUACACCCCUAUAACUGAUCAACAAGCAGCUUUGUUCCAAAUACAAUUUCUUAUUGUUACUACUUUUAGUCAUUUAGAUAUCAUAAUCUAGAUUGCGACUAACUGAUUGUCAAUAGCUUUUUUGCAAUAAUAAUAGAAAUCUCCCUCGGCCGGCCGGCCGGCCUCGCUCGAUAGAUGAUGCGAAAUGUUAAUUUAUAGGUAGUCAGCUGCUCUCUCACCCUAUAUCUAUAAACUAGAACACACUUAAUUAGUGAUCAGAUAGAAUACAUGAGUAAUUAGUUAUGCUUAUAUGGCAGACAAGACCCUGUUCUGUUCGGCGCCGUGCAUGAUUGAUGCUGACGGGAACCAAUAAUUAACCGUUGAUUAGCCUAAUUAGGGUUAAGUAGUGUUGUUGUUUUAUGAAGCAGAGAAGCACUUCAGAAACAGCUAUGCUUACAUCUUAGUAGAUUCUUGGAACAAUAAAAUUACAUGUCAAACGGCAGGAGGAACACUUGGUUCCUGAUACCCUUUCUUAUCCACACACGUACGCAUAUUCAAGCAAAGGUCUUGGUAAUACAUAUAGUUAAUUAAGAACAGAGGGACCAACUUUCCUGGACAGGAUAGAGAUUUGUGCAAUGGUAGAUAGCCUAGCUUCUCUUUUUGUCUCUGGCCUCCGUGAAUUAAGCAGUGUCUAGCAUGCUCUAAGUGCCUUGUGGCUUAAUUUAGGGUAUAUAAAUAAUUAAAAUAUCCUUGACAUCCAUAGCUUUUCUGUGCACGUGGCCUUAUCCUUUUUGUAGAAAAAUGAGAAGCUAGUAGCUGCUAGUGCAUAUCUUAGGCUCAGAACUUACACGCUAGUGCUUCAUUUUCAUGCAUGAAUGUCCCACCUCAGUCAACGCACACGUGAGAAACAGUGUAGCUAAAUAGCACUCGCUCGGUUUCAUAAUUCUCGUCGAAAUAUUACAUGUAUCUAGACGUUUUUUAAUAAUAGGUACAUUUAUUUUUAACAAAUUUGAGACAAGAAUUACGAAACGGAGUCAGUACUAUAUAUGGGAAAAUCUAAUUAAUGAACACAAGUGUUCUAGUUAGCCUUAACGACUGACGACUCUUUUUUUCCUGUCUAAAACCAAUCUGAAAAGUCUCUAUGCAUGUAACUGUGUAAUUCACAUGCAUGCAGAAAAGACGAACUAAUUUACGUCAACUACUUACAUGUGAAAGUGAAACUUUGAAGAUUGUUUUUUUUUUGCGAGAAAGAAGAUUCAAAAUGUUUUGUGACACAAACCCUUUAUCUGAUUCAUAAUCGGUUUGCAGCAGUGUGGGAUUUUAAAUUUGAUUAAUAGUUUACAAUAUGAAACAUUUUAAAAUUUGAAUUAAAGAGAGUAUUGGUGACAUCAACAAAUUUGUCAUGACUUGCGUGCAUGCAACAGGCAAUAGCUUGAUAUAGCUCAUAUGCAUGCAUGUGUUUACUGCAUGCCCACUGCAUUCACAGUGUGUGUCAAGUUGGGUUGCCACUUGCAAAAUUGCUAAUUUGGUUUUUGACACCGGUAUACAUCCGAAGGUGGUUCCAAAUCAGAACAACUGGAACCAGAGAAGGAGCUUGCUCCGAUGUCAAAUUUAAUCAAAGUUGAGACAUCAUUUGUUGGACGGAGUGGACGGAGUGAGUAGUAUAUCUAGGCGGCUAAUUAAAGAAUUAGUCCCUAGAUCUCUUGUCUACUUACUACAGAGUAGGAUCUGCGUAAUUUUCGUAGCAUUCCUUGUUAGAGAUAUAAUAUGGUUGAGAUUACUGCCAUCAUAUUUAUUGGUGUCACUCUACAUUUAAAAUGUUUUUUAAUAGAACAUUUAAAAUGUUCCAUGGGUUGAAGAAGACUCGCUCUGCAUGCGCCUGGGCUAUGGGCUCUGGCUUCUUUCGAAUAUGGAGAAAUUUCUCAUCUGCGUGGGCUUUGGGCUAGGGAUAAGAUGUGAGAAAGUGAGAGGCCAAGAGUUGCCUCGUAAAGCGGUUCUAAUAACGCAGGCAACAUCCUUAAAAAAACAAGUCGACAGUGGUCAAUGCACAACCAUACACUACUAUAUCCGUUUCAUAAUUCUUGUCUCAAAUUCGCUUAAAAAUGGACGUAUCUAUUUUUAAAAAUGUCUAGAUACAUGUAAAAUUUCGACAAGAAUUAUAAAACGGAAAUAGUAGUAUUUAGCAUUCAAAAAUGAUGAUGAAAGUCAGACAACAAUAUCUUUACAAGUCGACCAAAAUAAACCUGAGACCCUCGCGAAAGUAACUCUACCAAUCUACCACAAACUCUAUAACAAUUGUUGCAGCUAUGUGAUAACAAAACGAUCAUGCACCACCGAAAUUACCUAAAGUAAUCUUGAAGUACUUGGAGAAGUCGCAGACACGAUAGGUGGGCUCACAGUGAUGAGCACUUUCAGAUGCGUGGAGGUUUGCCUCUUAUUUUGUGAUAAUUUACUCUUCUUCUCUGCUGUAAUCGUACCAAUAUGUUCCCUCCGUUUCAUAAUUCUUGUCGAAAUCUUACAUGUAUUUAGACAUUUUUCAGAAAUAGAUACAUCCAAUUUUGAGAGACAAGAAUUAUGGAACGGAGGGAGUACUGCGUCUAAAAAAAUACUUAACGGUAUAACGAGCUCUAAUAAAACAACAGUCAAUGCAUUUAGAUCGCAAAAAAUGGUACAAAGGCUCUUAGAAAGCUUCUCUGGAAACCACCUUGAGAUCCCCUCUUUUAUUCUUCUUUCUUGUUUGGGGACGGCUACGCAGCGCGCGCGCACUUUUUUGUCAAAACAGGGUCAGAAGACUGCAGGGACAUGUACAUGUAGUAUUUUUCAGAUUGUUUUUGCUAUUAUGCAGCCUAAAAACAUCCAUCAGUUUGACAUUGAGAAUGAAAUACAUAAACGUGAAGGUACAUAGCUAGGUUUACAUCCACAACUAUCUAAACAAAACUGGAAGUAACUUUUAACAUUUCACAAAAGUUACAGCUAGUACUAAAGAGCAGUGCAUCCAAAAGUAACUUUUAACAUUUUCAGUUACAUCUAAAAAAUAAGAAAAGUAACUCUUGACAUUAAACUACAUCUUUUUAACUCAUAAAAGUAACUUUCAUAUACUGAAAUUACAUCCAGCAAAAUCAAAAAGUAGCUAUUAACCCAGAAAUUACAUCAAGUUCAGAUCAAAAGUAACUUUCAUAUACCGAAACUAUAUCCAGCAAAAUCAAAGAGUGGCUAUUAACCCAGAAAUUACAUCAAGUUGAGAUCCAAAGAAUUGAAAAGGCGAGGUGAGGUGAGGCGGCGGGGAGCGAUGAUUGCGGAGGAACGAACCUUGUAAUCAAGUUCGUAGAGACUAGAGAGCGACCAGAAUGUAGACAGCAACGGUAACCUACCCCGUCCACCAUAGAAGAGGUGUUCACUGAGGAUUCGGUGGGUUGUGAGCACCACAACCAGAAGAGCAGAAGGAAGGGAUAUUAACUGCGAAAGAAAUUUCUCAUGCCAAGCUACUGCACUAGUUCAAGCAAUCAUUACGCAGCAAACUUGUCAACAAAAGCUACUGCACUAGUUCAAUGCUCGAUGCAAAAGCUAUAUCUAUCCCCGUGGUGGAAGUUCUCGAUGUAUCCCAGCGUCGCCGACCAAAAAACUGCGCCAUCAGCGUCCAACGGCGGCGGCGAGGAAGACGCCCGCGGCCAAGGAAAACGGUUUGCGGCGAGGCCGGCGAAGCGUGGCGACAGCGCGGGAGCAAGCGGAGGAGGAGAGAGGAGAUCACAGCCACGGGGAAUCAGAUCACAAGGGAAGGGAGGAUAAGGGAGGAGGAGGCACCAGCGGUCGUCUCCACGCCACAGCCGACGAGCGGAACCAGCCGGCGGAGCGCGGCCGCGCCGACGAGAGGACCAGGGCCGCCGGUGUCGGCGCUUGAGCUCUCAGCGAGAGGGAGGCGCGGGGUGAGGUCGUGAGAUGCAGGACAGAGGAGGAAUUUGGGGGCUCGGGGAAGCCAGAAUGGUGAGAGGAUAAGGUUCUUUUUUUAAAGGGAGGGGAUAAGUUUGGUCAGCGAGUGAGCACCCAAUGCGACUAAAAGGUGCGCGGGCGUGAAACAGAUUUGGCGUUCUUGUUUUUGUGCCUCUUAUUUAGUUCUCUGAACUUUCUCUUUUUCACGGUUAGGAGCCUGUGGACAUUGUUUCUCUCCGCUAAUACAUG